rnacentral:lncRNA from 1 species
UUCUUGCUGAAAUCCUCUCCCAGAAUGCACAUGUUGAGUACUUGCAACGCCAUAAUCUCAAUGGCAGCACUGAUAGAGAGACAUUCAAGAAAGUCGUACCUGUCAUCACUUAUGAAGAUAUUCAGCCUGAUAUCAAACGCAUAGCCUAUGGUGAUAAAUCUCCUAUCCUCUGCUCCCAACCCAUCUCUGAAUUAUUGUCAAGGUUCUCCUUCUUUUCUUUUCUUUUUCCCGAAUAGAAAGUGAAAAUUUAUCUGUAUCGAUCUCACAUUUUGGGUUGUACAUAUUGAGUAUGUGACUUAUCGAAAAGCUUAAGCUGUUAGGAAAAAUACACUUCUAUUUAGUAGUUAAUUAUGUCUUCAACAAUACAUGCAUGUUGCUCUUAAUUAUUUUUUGCUAAAGGAUGUACUGCAUGCAGUUCUGGCACCUCUGGAGGGGAGAGCAAAUUGAUACCAACAACAGAGCCAGAGAUUGGGAGGAGACUACAGCUUCACAAACUUGUGAUGUCUGUGUUGAGCCAAGUGGCUCCAGAUUCUGGAAAGGGCAAAGGAAUGUAUUUCAUGUUCAUAAGCCCUGAACAAAAGACCCCAGGAGGAUUAAUAGCUCGCUUUCUUACAACUAGUUAUUACAAUAGUCCUUACUUCAACUACAGUCGUCUUCAUAACCCCCAUUGUAACUACACUAGUCCAACUGCAGCCAUUCUCUGCCCAGACUCUUACCAAAGCAUGUAUUCCCAAAUGCUUUGUGGCCUCUGCCAAAACAACCAAGUCCUCCGUGUUGGCUCCUUUUUUGCGACCAGCUUCGUUCGUGCCAUCCGAUUCCUGGAGAAGCACUGGUCUCUACUUUGUAACGAUAUCCGAAGCGGAACCAUUAACACUCAAAUAACUGAUCCUUUAGUGAGAGAGGCAGUGAUGGAAGUCCUCAAACCUGACCCAACAUUAGCUGAUUUCAUUGAGGUUGAAUGCACCAAAGAUUCAUGGCAAGGGAUCAUCACUAGGUUAUGGCCUAAUACCAAGUAUGUGGAUGCUAUUGUGACUGGAUCCAUGUCACAAUAUAUACCGAUACUUGAUUAUUACAGCAACAAUCUCCCUCUUAUCAGUACUCUGUAUGCUUCCUCGGAAAGCCACUUUGGAAUCAACUUGAACCCUUUUUGUAAGCCCAGUGAUGUCUCUUACACCCUUAUUCCCACCAUGUGCUAUUUUGAGUUCUUACCGUAUCGCGGAAACAGUGGAGUCAUUGAUUCUAUAUCCAUGCCCAAGUCGCUUAAUGAGAAAGAACAACAACAAUUGGUUGAUUUGGCUGAUGUCAAGAUUGGCCAGGAGUACGAGCUUGUUGUUACCACAUAUUCUGGUAUUUUCAAAUGCCAAACAAAAAGCUCUCGGCACAUUUUCUUUUUCUUAUUUAUAAGUCAAACAUGCGGUCUGCUGAUGCUUAGCUUUGCUUGAAUUUAUGCCAUUUCAGGACUCUACAGAUAUAGAGUCGGUGAUGUGCUUCAGGUUGCUGGAUACAAGAACAACGCGCCUCGAUUCAACUUCCUAUGCCGGGAAAAUGUAGUCUUGAGUAUUGGUGCUGACUUCACUAAUGAAGUUGAGCUACAAAACGCAGUGAAAAAUGCAGUGGGCAAUCUGGUGCCAUUUGAUUCUCAGGUAACCGAGUACACCAGCUAUGUCGAUAUUACCACCAUUCCAAGCCACUAUGUCAUAUUCUGGGAACUGAAUGCGAAUGACUCUACCCUGGUUCCUCCUUCAGUCUUUGAAGAUUGUUGCCUCACAAUUGAAGAAUCUCUUAACUACUUCUACCGCGAGGGCCGUGCGUCUAAUGAAUCCAUCGGGCCUCUAGAAAUUAGGGUGUUGGAAAUUGGAACUUUUGACAAGCUCAUGGACUACUGCAUGAGCUUAGGUGCUUCCAUGAACCAAUACAAGACGCCCCGCUGUUUGAAAUAUGCACCCCUUAUUGAGCUAUUGAACUCUAGGGUCGUGUCCAGCUACUUCAGUCCCAUGUGUCCAAAAUGGGUUCCUGGCUACAAGAAAUGGGACGGCAACAAUUAAAUGUCAAACUUCCGAUUUCCCUGCUUGUACCUUCAUUCACUAUCCAGAAAAAAGACAACCAUUUGUGGAUUAUUUAGUCAAUCGUCAUCCUAGCUAAGUUAGUCUUUCGUGAACAUGGUAUGGAUUUGUAUUUGUCACAAAUAAAAUAUGGCACUUUUUAUUUCUGUAAUGUGUUAAAGUAGUUUAGUGCAGACACAUAUGAGGAGAAGAAGUAAAAAAAAGAAAGGAGGUUUGUAGUCACUUUUAGUGCCCAUAUUUUAUCCAAUCUAAAAAAUAUCACUCACCCAACCCGUGUAAUAUUCAGGAAAAAAAAGAAGACAUGUAAUGUUGCGCGGGUUGUACGGGUAAUGAGGAAAAAAUCCAAUUUUGCCGGCACUAGGCCUAAGAUUUUCCUGCAGUCUCGGCAUAAGUUUACAAGUCUGGCAAGUGAGAAACAACCCUGUACCAAGUAGCAUUAUAAAACUAUAACCCAUCUAUCAACAGUAAUUUUUUAGAGGAAACUACUGCAAAAGUGUUAAAAGACUGGAUUAUCAAACAUUUACAAGCUUUGAAAGGAAAGACUCCUGAUUACCAGGGAAAUAUAACAGAAAGACUUGUAAAUUGCAACUUCAAUUAAAAAAAGGAUUUGUAAGUUGCAACGUGAAGAACGAAAUAAGAAAACUGAUUCUUGGAAUCAAUCAAGGAUUUGCUAAAUUCUUUCAAAUGUUUCUCUGUUAGCAAGCCUCAUUUGUCUGUACAGUUGAUCGCAUGAACAUCAUUUGCUAGUUCACUCUUUAAUAUAUAGAGCUAUAUUUCUUCCUCUUUUCCUAUACAAAUAAACUUGUAAGCAGUCUAAUAUAUGUUUCAUAUUACACUGCUAAUGAAAAGAAGAUAGAGAGAUUGUUGACAUGACCUAUCUUUAGCUUGCAGCUCAGAGCGAAGCAGUCCUUGCAAAUCUGCCUUCCGAGACUUGGACACCCCAUAUAUUUAUUUAGUUGAUGAUUUGCCAUGGCCCUGAGUUGAACCACUGUCAUAUUAUACAUAUCUUCAGUACAAGGUGAUGGUCUAAUAGAUGACAUGGGAGCAACAAUUUUAGCAUUAUAAGCAUUACAGUCAUCAUAGGAGCUGGAGCUGUGAAUGACCCGCGGCUCUUGACUUGUUCUGCCAUAUGAUUUUACCAACCUAUUCCGAACAUUUCUCUUAUCUUUAUUCGCUUGAUCUUGUUUCUUGAGUGGGACUGAGAAAUUGCACUAGCAUCUGCAAAACCAGCAGCAGCUCUUUUGGCUCGAGCGAGUUGAGUUUUAUUGAUGGUAUUGUCCCCUCUUUAGCUUUUUUAGUGGCUUGCUUCUGUCAUUCCUUUUAGAAUUCAACAGAUGUGGCAGUGAUUCCUCUAUAGUACAAUCAGCAAAACUUCUUGUCCCUUUAUUCGACAUGGAGAUUUUAUGCUGGCAAUAUUUAUCUUUACAAAAUACUUUGAUGUUUUUUAUCAUUAUUUGAACAGCCUUCACUCCUUCCUGCGUCCGUCUGCUGCUAUAUUCUUUGGCUUCUUGUUCUGAAGCAUGUCUGUCCUCUUAGAGUUAUUCCUGCAGGCUAUUCAAUUAAGCAAAUACAGGCAUCACCUUAAAGUAGUUUAUUCAUGCUUGGACUUUAAUUAAGAACUGUAACAUUCAUAAUAUUUGCAAUUUAUUAUCCUGAAAUGCUAAAUUUAGGAGAAAAAUUGAUCGUAUAAAAAUUUAAAAUCCUUUGUUCAAAAUACCAAGAAGAGAUUGGACGAUGAACGAAAACUGAACUGGGAGUGUAAGAUUCUUUAAGUUCUAUUGUAAAAGAAAGUCAUUUUUCUUCCUUUUGUUACACAAAAAUUAUUUUACUUUGCUCUAUUUAUCACAAAAGUCACCUUGGCCAGAUUUUAUAAUACAUUUACUUGAAAAGUCUAUUAUGCCCUUAACAUUAUAAAUCUUCUCAUUUAUGUAAUACCUUCUAUAUGAUAUACUAUAUAAUAUAUUUUUACCUAGGUAUUUUACUUAUAAUUAAAAUAACUUUAAAUUUUUUUAUUUAUUAUUUUUAUAAUAUAUUCAUACAUUUAAUUUUUUUCAUGGCAUUCACUUUGUUUAAUCAUAUUUAAACAUGAACAUAUUUUAAAUAUAAAAAUAAUAAUAAAAUAUUUUUUUUAAUAUUUAUUUGAAAUAAUAACAAACAGAUUUGUUUAACAAAUGAUAGUUUUUUAUAGUCAAUAAAUAUUUUUUAUAAAUAUUCAAAGAUAUUUGUGUUUACUAUUAAGAUUUUUUAAAGCUUUAUAUGCUAAUAUUAUUUAUUUGAAAGUAUUAAUCUGAUGUGUCAUUGUGCUAAAUAUGGGUAUUUUAUUUAUUGGAUUAAUGAGUAUGGCUUGACUGAUAAAUCAGUAAACUUUGAUUUUAUAAUUUUCAUUAAAAAUAUUUUAUUAAGCUUGGUUAAGAACAUGGACUUGAGUUUUGUUCACGGUAAUAUUACUGACAAAUUUAAUAAUGUUACUUAUGUAUCUUAAAAAUUAACGUUAAGAGAAAAAAAUUAAAUGUACAAAUAUAUUAUAAAAAUAAUAAAUAAAAUAAUAUAAAGUUAUUUUAAUUAUAAGUAAAAUACCUGGAUAAAAGUAUAUUAUAUAGCAUAUAAUAUAGAAGAUAUUACAUAAAGGAGAUGACUUGUAAUGUCAAGGGCAUAUAGACUUUUCACGUGAAUAAUUUGUAAAAUCUGGUCAAAAUGAUUAUUGUGAUAACUAGAGGAUAGUAAAAUAAUUUGUGUAACAAAAGAAAAAAAAUGACUUUUGGGUAAUGAACAUAAAGUUGAACGACUUUUAAGUAACAAAAGAAAAAAAAAUGACUUUUGGAUAACGAACACAAAGUUGAAGACCACCCAUGAAAUUUACUCGAAUACGAUUGUUUAAGUUUAAUUUUAGUUUGAAAGAAGAUAGGGCUGGUCCCUGAAUAUCAUCUUGGCUUUUAAACAUCAAAUCAAAGGUGGAACCUCUAUCUUUAAAUCCACCUAGGGGUCAGACAUGGUUAAAUGAUUAUAUCUUCAAUCUAAGAUGUUUUAGCAUGUUGGUGGUUCCACUUGUAUUUUUUAUUGCAUUUCUGAAGUCUGCUAUAUGAAUAAACAAUCCGGCAUCUGAAAAUUUAAAAUGGAACAAGGUAGACAGCUAAUAAGCUUACUGUUUUUUGAUGAUUGAGAUGCCAAGACUGAAUUAUUUAUUGGCCUAGAUAGUGAAACCAUCCUUGAAUUCUACAGUCCUGAUAUCCUUUGAGCUGUGAUUGUCUAUUGCUUCUGUUUUGUUAAGACACGUGUUAGCAACAUGUUAUGUGGUAGGUAAAACGUUAAUACAGACAAGGAUCACAUAUUAACAUAAUAACUAUUAUUAGUCAAACAAUCAUUUAAUAAUAAAACUUAACGAAUCAAUUCAGAUUUAAUAAUCCAAACUGAGCUGCUCUGUGUAAUUGAUUAAAUGUUAUGACAUUUCAAAGAUAGAGAUCUGGAUUCAAAGCAAUUUCUUUAUUGUAGUAGUACUGUACAUGGUAUGAAAGCGAGGUGCUAAACGUUUUGAAGUUUCAACUACCUAAAACAAAUUGACAAAAUGAGAGAGAGACAUGGGUAUAUUUUAUUUAGAACUAGUACUGGAAAACCCCAAAACUUCCUUAAUAUAAAGUCCCACUUGAUACAGCAGUCAAAUAUUCAUUUUCUUCACCUUGUGUGUACAAAUUACUAAUAUAGUUUCUUCACAAUUAUGGAAAGAAGCGUAGCUAAUGAGGCACCAAAGGCCACAAUAAUGGUGGAGGACUACAAGAAGAAUCUUGAGUUCAUUGAAGAGGUGACUAGCAAUGUUGAUGAGGUCCAAAUGAGAGUUCUUGCUGAAAUCCUCUCCCAGAAUGCACAUGUUGAGUACUUGCAACGCUAUAAUCUCAAUGGCCGCACUGAUAGAGAGACAUUCAAGAAAGUCGUACCUGUCAUCACUUAUGAAGAUAUUCAGCCUGAUAUCAAACGUAUAGCCUAUGGUGAUAAAUCUCCUAUUCUCUGCUCCCAACCCAUCUCUGAAUUAUUGUCAAGGUUCUCCUCCUUUCUUUUCUUUUUCCCGAAUAGAAAGUGAAAACUUAUCUGUAUCUAUCUCUCACAUUUUGGGUUGUACAUAUUGAGUAUGUGACUCAUCGAAAAACUUAAGCUGUUAGGAAAAACACACUUCUAUUUAGUAGUUAAUUAUGUCUUCAACAAUACAUGCAGUUCUGGCACGUCUGGAGGGGAGAGCAAAUUGAUACCAUCAACAGAGGCAGCGCUUGGGAGGAGAUUACAGCUUCUAAAACUUCUGAUGUCUGUGAUGAGCCAAGUGGCUCCAGAUUUUGGAAAGGGUAAAGGAAUGUAUUUCAUGUUCAUAAGUUCUGAACAGAAGACCCCAGGAGGAUUACUAGCACGCUUUUUUACAACUAGUUUUUACAAGAGUCCUUAUAUCAACUGCGGAUACCCCUGCAGGAAAUUCACUAGUCCAACGGCAACCAUUCUUUGCCAAGACUCUUACCAAAGUAUGUACUCGCAAAUGCUCUGUGGCCUCUGCCAAAACCAAGAAGUCCUCCGUGUUGGCUCGCUUUUUGCAACCGGCUUCAUUCGUGGCAUCCGUUUCUUGGAGAAGCAUUGGUCUCUACUUUGUAACGAUAUCCGAAACGGAACCAUUAACACCCAAAUUACAGAUCCUUCAGUGAGAGAAGCAGUGAUGGAAAUCCUCAAACCUGACCCAAAAUUAGCUGAUUUCAUUGAGGCUGAAUGCAGCAAAGACUCAUGGCAAGGAAUCAUCACUAGGUUGUGGCCUAAUACCAAGUAUGUGGAUGCUAUUUUGACUGGAUCCAUGUCACAAUAUAUACCGAUACUUGAUUAUUACAGCAAUAGCCUCCCUCUUAUCAGUACUUUGUAUGGUUCCUCAGAAUGCCACUUUGGAAUCAACUUGAACCCUUUUUGUAAGCCCAGUGAAGUCUCUUACACCCUUAUUCCCACCAUGUGCUAUUUUGAGUUCUUACCAUAUCACGGAAAUAGUGGAGUCAUUGAUUCUAUCUCCAUGCCUAAGUCGCUUAAUGAGAAAGAACAACAACAAUUGGUUGAUUUGGCUGAUGUCGAGAUUGGCCAGGAGUACGAGCUUGUUGUUACCACAUAUUCUGGUAUUUUCAAAUGCUAAAUAAAAAUCUCUUGGCACAUUUUUUCCCCAUUUAUAAGUUAAACAUGCCGUCUGCUGUUGCUUAGCUUUGCUUGAAUUUAUGCCAUUUCAGGACUCUACAGAUAUAGAGUCGGUGAUGUGCUUCGGGUUGCUGGAUACAAGAACAACGCGCCUCGAUUCAACUUCCUAUGCCGGGAAAAUGUAAUCUUGAGCAUUGGUGCUGACUUCACUAAUGAAGUUGAGCUACAAAACGCAGUGAAAAAUGCAGUGGGCAAUCUGAUGCCAUUUGAUUCUCAGGUAACCGAGUACACCGGCUAUGUCGAUAUUACCACCAUUCCAAGCCACUAUGUCAUAUUCUGGGAGCUGAAUGCGAAUGACUCUACCCCAGUUCCUCCUUCAGUCUUUGAAGAUUGCUGCCUCACAAUUGAAGAAUCUCUUAACUACUUCUACCGCGAGGGCCGUGCGUCUAAUGCAUCCAUCGGGCCUCUAGAAAUUAGGGUGGUGGAAAUUGGAACUUUUGACAAGCUCAUGGACUACUGCAGUAGCUUAGGUGCUUCCAUGAACCAAUACAAGACACCCCGUUGUGUCAAAUAUGCACCCCUUAUUGAGCUAUUGAACUCUAGGGUCGUCUCCAGAUACUUCAGUCCCAUGUGUCCAAAAUGGGUUCCUGGCUACAAGAAAUGGAACAACACCAGUUAAAUGUCAAGCUUCCAAUUUCUCUACUUGUAGCUUCAUUCUCUAUCCCGAAAAAAGACAACCAUUUGUGGAUUAUUUAGUCAAUCGUCAUCCUAGCUAAGUUGGUCUUUCGUGAACAUGGUAUGGAUUUGUAUUUGUCACAAAUAAAAUGUGGCACUUUUUAUUUCUGUAAUGGUUUUAUUGUGUCGAGUAGUUUAGUGCAAAGACGAGGAGAAGAAGUAAAAAGAGAGGUUUGGUAGACACUUUUAGUGCCCAUAUUAUGUUGGUGGUUUCACUUGUCUUUUCUAUUGCAUUUCUGAAGUCUGCUAUAUGAAUAAACAUCCCGGCAUCUAAAAAUUUAAAAUGGAACAAGGGAGACAGCUAAUCAACGUACUGCUUUUUGAUGAUUUCUCACUUGAACUUGAUAUGCCAAGACUGAAUUAUUGGCAUGGAUAGUGAAACUAUCCUUGAAUUUUACAGUCUUCAUAUCCUCUGAAAUGUGAUUGUCGAUUGCUUCCAAUUUGUUAAGUCAUUCUUUAGGCAGGUUUUGAACUUCCGACACCAGGUUCUUCAGGCUGUAGAUUAAAAUUAAAACAACAACAAGAACAACCCAGAAGAAUCCCACUAAUGGGGUCUGGGGAGGGUAGUGUGUACGCAGAUCUUACCCCUACUCCAAAUGAGUAGAGAGGCUGUUUCCGAAAGACCCUCGGCUCAAGAAAACAAAAGACAAAACGACAAGAGGAGAAAACAUUAGUAUUACCACAACAAUCAUAGAAAAAAUAGGAACACCAUGAAAUGCAGAAGAAAGAUGCAAAGCAAAAAUGAUAGCUAGUAAAUAGGACAUGUACUGAAAAGCGAAGUAGUAAAACACAACAUUGUCACUAGCUACCCUAGACAAAAAUCCUACGUGGCCAGUCCCACAAUGGUACGAAGUAAGUCAAGACUCAACUACAUCCUAACCUACAGCUCUAAUACUCGACCUCCACAUCUUCCUAUCAAGUGUCAUAUCCUCGGAAAUCUGGAACCUCGCCAUAUCAUGUCUGAUCACCUCUCCCCAAUAAUUCUUAGGCCGCCCUCUACCUCUUCUCGUGCCCUCCACAACCAGCCGCUCACACCUCCGUACCGGAGCAUCUGGGCUUCUCCUUUGAACAUGUCCGAACCAUCUAAGCCUCGCUUCCCACAUCUUGUCAUCAAUGGGAGCCACGGUGCACCUNNNNNNNNNNNNNNNNNNNNNNNNNNNNNNNNNNNNNNNNNNNNNNNNNNNNNNNNNNNNNNNNNNNNNNNNNNNNNNNNNNNNNNNNNNNNNNNNNNNNNNNNNNNNNNNNNNNNNNNNNNNNNNNNNNNNNNNNNNNNNNNNNNNNNNNNNNNNNNNNNNNNNNNNNNNNNNNNNNNNNNNNNNNNNNNNNNNNNNNNNNNNNNNNNNNNNNNNNNNNNNNNNNNNNNNNNNNNNNNNNNNNNNNNNNNNNNNNNNNNNNNNNNNNNNNNNNNNNNNNNNNNNNNNNNNNNNNNNNNNNNNNNNNNNNNNNNNNNNNNNNNNNNNNNNNNNNNNNNNNNNNNNNNNNNNNNNNNNNNNNNNNNNNNNNNNNNNNNNNNNNNNNNNNNNNNNNNNNNNNNNNNNNNNNNNNNNNNNNNNNNNNNNNNNNNNNNNNNNNNNNNNNNNNNNNNNNNNNNNNNNNNNNNNNNNNNNNNNNNNNNNNNNNNNNNNNNNNNNNNNNNNNNNNNNNNNNNNNNNNNNNNNNNNNNNNNNNNNNNNNNNNNNNNNNNNNNNNNNNNNNNNNNNNNNNNNNNNNNNNNNNNNNNNNNNNNNNNNNNNNNNNNNNNNNNNNNNNNNNNNNNNNNNNNNNNNNNNNNNNNNNUCGUCGAUCUCCCCUCCCCCCUGGAUAACCGAACCAAGGUACUUGAAGCUGCCUCUACUCGGGAUGACCUGUGAUUCAAGCCUCACAUCCACGCCUACUUCCCCUGGCUUAUGCUAAAUUUACACUCCAGGUAUUUCGUCUUCGUCCUGCUCAACUUGAAACCCUUAGACUAAAGAGCCUAUCUCCAAACCUCUAGCCUCUUGUUAAUACUGGCUCGCGAUUCAUCAAUCAGAACUAUGUCAUCGGCAAAUAGCAUGCACCAUGGCACCUCCCCUUGAAUAUGGUGUGUUAAUGCGUCGAUCACUAGGGCGAAUAAGAACGGACUGAGCGCAGAACCUUAGUGUAACCCCAUUACAACCGGAAACUGCUCAGAGUCGCCUCCUACUGUCCUAACCCGAGUCUUAGCCCCAUCAUACAUGUCCUUAAUCGCCAUAAUGUAGGGAACCGAUACACCUUUUGCCUCUAGGCAUCUCCAGAGAACUUCUAUAGGAAUCUUGUCAUACGCUUUAUCUAGGUCAAUAAAGACCAUGUGCAGAUCCUUCUUCCUCUCUUUGUACAGUUCCACCAACCUCCUAACAAGGUGUAUAACUUCUGUAGUCGAACGACCCGGCAUGAACCCGAAUUGGUUGUCGGAUACAGACACUGUCAUCCUUACCCUCACUUCAACCACCCUCUCCCACACUUUCAUGAUAUGACUCAGUAAUUUUAUACCCCUAUAAUUGUUACAACUCUGGAUAUCACCUUUGUUCUUAUACAAUGGGACCACCGUACUCUACCUCCACUUAUCCGGCAUCCUCUUCGCCUUAAAAAUAACAUUAAACAACCUAGUCAACCACUCCAAACCUGCUCUCCCCACACACAUCCAAAAUUCUACCGGAAUCUCGUCUGGCCCGGUCGCUCUGCCUCUACUCAUCUUACGCAUAGCUCCCACGAUCUCAUCAACCUCGAUACGCCUGCAGUACCCAAAGUCACAGUGACUCUCGGAAUGUUCCAAUUCGCCUAGCACAAUAUCCUGAUCCCUUUCUUCAUUCCGAAGUUUAUGAAAGUAAGUCUGCCAUCUCCUCUUAAUCUGGGCAUCUUACAUUAAUACUCUACCAUCUUCGUCCUUGAUGUAUCUCACUUGGUCCAAAUCCCGAGCCUUCCUCUCUCUCAACUUGGCCAGCUGGAAUAACUUCUUCUCCCAGCCUUUUUUCCUCAGUUCCUCGUACAUACAACCAUAUGCAGCAGUCUUAGCCUUUGUGACCGCCAGCUUAGCCUCCUUCCUAGCUGUUUUAUAACUCUCCAUGCAUGCUCGCCUCUCCUCCUCAUCUAUGCUCCUCACUAACUUCAGGUACGCCACCUUCUUAGCUUCCACUUUACCUUGAACCACUUCAUNNNNNNNNNNNNNNNNNNNNNNNNNACCCGUCCGCGUCCUUCGCCCUUAACCCUACCCACCUAGUCUCUUAGACACACCCUAUAUUGACCCUCCUCUUCUGGAGGAUCUUCGCCAACUCUAUAGACUUACCCGUCAAUGUACCUACGUUCCAUGACCCAAUUCUCAACCUACAGACACCCUUGUUCCCUUUACCUCCCUUGCCUCCCGCCCCACCCCUAACCCCUGCCUUACCUCCCGCCCCACCCCCCGUUCUCCCCGAGGACAUGACCUCACUCAACCAUUCUAGACCACAAUCACUAUACCUACGGCAGAGUAAGGGGAAUCACUAUCACGCACAAUAUAACAGACCAAACCAGAAGAAGACAAGUUGCAACUACAUGCACACUAAUACGGCGAAUAAACUAAUACGAACUAAGUUGACAACAAUUUAACUAACACAACAAAGAAAAAUUGGAAAACGGGAGGUACCAACUCACACGAGUCCAAUAUUAACAAAUAGCAAAUUUUAAGCAAGAACAAUAGAACGUGAAGUCACAAUGAGUGCUGAGAAAGGUGUUGUCCACAACAGCUAUGUUUUGGAAGUUCCUGCCUGCUUCGCCCGAGGCUCGCUGGAAAAUAGUCUCCGCCGCUGCCGUCGCUAGGCUAGGUCAGUGCGCCAGAAAAUAGGGGGACGAGGUGGAAGAGACGAGGUAUAGGGGAGAGAAAGAAGGGAGAAGAAGAAAAGGGAAAGGGGAAUAUAAGGGGGGGGGGGGGGGUCAGAUGUGGGGAGCAAAAAAGGGGGACAAGAAAACAAGAAAGAAAGGGAGGGGAGAAAGGGAAGUAACAGGAAGAAGGAGGAAGACGGAGAGAGAAAGAGAGGAAAAGAAGACAAGGGGUGGGGUGGGGGCCGGGGGUCUUGCCUGGUCCGCCGGAGGUCCGGUGAUUUAGAGAGAAAGAGAUGUGUGAAUAUCCAAAAGCGAGUAGCGACAGUGCUGGCUAAUUAUGGUGGAAAGAGACAAGGCAGUGUAGACGAUAAUAAAGAUUAAAGAUUCAAAAUAGUAUGUCUGGCUAUAGGUUCAAGCACUCAGUUACCUAAAACCACUGAAAGAAGAAGACACAACAAAGUUUCUACUUCAAUGUACAACCUGAAAAGGACAUAUUGGAGUUCCAUUUGUUCAAGGCCAAAAAAAGUCUAUACAACAACUUCAUCUUUCACUAAUUGCAAAACCAAUGAUAGUAUAUUUUUUUUUUGCUUCAAGAACUUGACAUGUUGAAAAUAUUAUAUGCACUUGUAAUGAUCAUAAGCUCUGCAUAUGAUAAUUCCAAAAAGCAAACCUGCUCAUUCUUCAAAGCCCUUAGCAAACUUUCCAGGUGAUCAAUCUUUUUGUUUAAUGUAGCAAAGCACAUGCCAGACCAUUUCUCAUCGAUACAGGCCAAUUGGCUCAGGAGCAUCAGUAUAUCAUCUUCAAGCUCAGAAAUUUCUGAAUCAACUUUGGUGAUCAGUUUCUUCAGAACUUGCAGACAAGAUAUCUCAUUUAAAGCAUCUUGCUCGAUCACGUCUGUGACACAAAAUCAAUUAAAAUAGAUGAGAUAUGUCAAACAAAAAGAAUAAUAAAAGAGCUACUAUAUAUGUGAACUUACCAAGUCGUGGAUCGAAAUACAAGUUAUACUGUCAACUGUUUGCUGUAUAAUUGCUUUCAUCUGUGACUAAAUAAGUCAGGACAGUCAGCACUUUUUUCUACCAAAACAAUCAUGAAGAAGCCCAAUUAGAGUGUGAGAUUAUGAAACCUUGAUUUUCAGGUGGACCUCAAAUAGAUGAAGCCAUCUCCUUAAUAUAGUUAAGCCUGAUGUAUCGAAAAAAAGUACAAAUAAAACAGUGUGCAUCCCAAAAAUUUGUACAUAUCGUAUGCCAGCAAAAUCACCAUGCUUCAAAAGUUGAAUCCCCAAAUUCAACAUACAAAAUUGCAAAUCCACAUUGAAAAAAUCAAUGACUUCCUAUUGAUCGGUAAAAAUAAAUAAGGUACUACAGGUGCUUUAAUGUUAGAAAGUCUGGAUUUUGAAGAUUCCCUCACUGAGUACCAUAUUACCAGCUUGUUUAUCCCAUGAAGUCAUACAAUUAAAUUCAUAAAUCUAUCAAAGCAGAAUAUUUCCAAUAUUUAGCUUAUAUGCACUUAAUUCAGUUGACUUGCAACUUACUCUAAAUUUAUUCCACUGAACUUCUCAGCUGACUUCAAUGUAUUAUAGAGACAAUGACAUCUCCACUUAAUUCAACUCUUGAAUUGUGACUUCUGUACUUGCUUGUUAUCAAUUGAAUUAUGAGAUCCCUAAAUUAAUUAUGGCGUUGUAUCAAAUUUCACUCUCCAAAACCUCAUUUAGAAACUAGAAACAGAUUCUCUUUUUCUGGUAUAAAUUACCUACUACUAUCAGGGGAACUAUAUCGGGAGUUAGAGUUCUAGCCACAGGAUUAAUGAUACAAAACUACAACCCAGGAUCUCAACUGAAAUAUGAGAUCAGAAUCAACAGUACUCUUACACAUGAUUAUGGCUACACGUAAACAUGCAAACAUUUGAAUAGAUAUAUAUUAAUCAAUAAAUUCUUAUGCUUUUCAAGGAUGGAAAGCAUUAGUCGAUGAAAAUUCAAACGCAAAAAUAUCAUCUCUUUGUCUUGUUCUAUAGAACAAGUUAGAAGGUUGUUAAGAAUACAAUGAAAAGAUUAACACUUGAGUAGUUAAUGCACAACAAGGUAAGAGAAAAAGAAAUUAGAAACUUUAGCUUCCAAAGAAAGAUAAAUUGAAAUUCCUCUGUUGAAAGGAAUCUAGGGAUUUUGUUCGUAGCAGGAGGGAAUGGUGACUGGCCGUAGCAAAAUAUUCCCAUUUUUUGCUUUAACAUUUAAAGUUUGAAAUUCUUAUUUAGUGGUGGAAAUUAGAAGUUAAUAAUUGAUUAUUGUUAAAAUUAUUUGAAUAUUGAUUAUUUGUGCUUAAAUUUUUAGUUCAAAUACUGAACGAGAAAUGGAUGGUUCUCAAACUGAUUCGGCGCCUAAAAAAAGAAAAAGGUCUCUGAAUCUGGUAUUAGUCAUAAGAAACAUGCCAAAUCCGUUUCAAAUAUAAUUUUUUUUAUGUAUUCUAAAUUUUAUGUAUGUUAGUUUUUACUUUGUAAGAGCUAGUUCCUCUAACAGACAUGCUUGCUUAGCUUAUUGGAAAACAGAAGAUAGUCAUAUACCGAUAAAUUUGUUCAUUUGGAUAUCAUGUGAUAUACUUAUGUAUGUUUCUUUUUAAAUGCAGCGUAAUAAAAAUGCUAAGUUGAAACUAGGUAUUUGUUUUCAAUUUUAACAUUGUUAGUGAGUCGAAAAGAAGAUUAUCAACAACACAAGUUGAGCUUUUUAAAUCAACUUAUUUUAGGUAUUUGCUGGAUUUGCCUGGAAUAGAUUACAAUCUCAACUGAUAUAUUCUUUGUUGAUAAUGGAAGUUCAAAAAGAAACUGAGGAUGAAAUGUAGUUUCUUGUCAAUGAAGUUAAGCUAUAUUUUAAUUUAUCUCAGUUUACUUGUGUGACUGGAUAAAAAUGUACUGGAGAUGUAAAGUGCCCUACUUGGUCUAAGGGAAAGAAUAAUCAUUUAAUUGAAAAAUAUUUUGUGGAUCACUCUUCUCUUGCUAAGAAAUGUCUUAAGCAUUAUUUUCUUAAUAAAACGCCUAAAUCUAAUGAAGAUGCUAUGAAGGUGGCAAUGCUCUAUGUUGGCCUAGUGAAGAUUGUUUUGAUGAUUAACAAAGGAACUCAAGUAUGAACCAGGUCCAUACAAAGUGUACACAAAUACGGGCAGAUUCGAGCACAAGGCAUGCACGUGAAGGAGAUAAGAUUAAGUGGUUAUAUCUGAUAUCUCCUGAACGAAAAGAUUGCAUAAGUGAUAAGGAGAAGAACUCCUUACUCAAAGAUAACUCUAUCCUAGAUAAGGGAUGUCACGACCCAAAAUCCUAACAUGUCGUGAUGACGCCUAUCUCAAUACUAGGCAAGCCGACAACCUAAAUAAACCACAAUUUCUUUUAAGUUUGAAAACAUAAUAUUUGAAUUUCAUCGAAAAUCUCACGAAUUACUGACAUAAAAAUACAUUCCCAAAAUCCGGUGUCACCGAGUACAUGAGCAUCUAAAUGAUAAUAAAGUGUGACUGAUAAAAAUAUUGUCUGAAAAUAUAGAACAGUACAAUAACUGAAAGGGAGAGAGUCAAGGUCAGCGGACGCCAAACUGCUACCUUGGUAGUCUAAAACUGAUAACACUCUAAGAUCUAACAAUCGCCGUAUCUGAAAGCACCUGGAUCUGCACACGAGAUGCAGGGUGUAGUAUGAGUACAACCAACUCAGCAAGUAACAAUACUAAAUAAAGAACUGAAAGUAGUGACGAGCUUCAUAGCUAAGUCCAAUUAAAAUAAUUUCCAACGUAAGAAAGUAGACAUGCUUGCAAGUUUAACAAUUAAGGCCCAAACAAUAAUUUCAUAUUAAGUUCGACUGAAACAUGAGAUAAUAUCUCUCAGAAAUUUCCAAAACAGUGAUAAAUGAUAACUGAAGUACAACUAUAAUGAAAUCAAUGCAUCCUCUUAGAACAACAUUCACUCAGUCCUUCCACUCGCUCAACACUCGGCACUCGCACUCAGUAGGUAUUUGCGCUCACUGGGGGUGUGUACAGAUUCCGGAGGGUCUCCUUCAGCCCAAGCGCUAUAAUCCGCACGGACAAAUCUCUCCAGUUUCUCGGGCUCUCAGUAAUCAUAAAAAUCACCAACAGAAAUGAUAUAAUGUAUCCACAAGGAACAAUAGAGACUGAGAUAAAAUAAAUAAGUAAACCGUGACCGAGUACAAAAUAACAAUUUAGCAGAUAAUUAAAAAUGUACACGACCUUUGUGGGUCCCUACAGUGCCAACACAUAACCUGAACAUGAUUUGUGGUUCAAUUUAUCUACUACAUGGAGAAUGUAUAGAUAACAACAGAUUAUUCAACUACACGGUUCUAUGGAAUUUGAUCGAGUCACAAUUUCUAUGGUGCACACCCAUACGCCCGUUACCUAGCAUGUGCGUCACCUCAAAACCGAUCACAUAACACAUAAUCCGGAGUUUCAUACCCUCAUAACCAAAUUUAGAAUUGUUACUUAGCUCAAACCGUGAAAUUCUUUAUUCUGUUAUGCCCUUGCCUCGCGAAUCGGCCUCCAAACGCCUCGAAUCUAGUCAUAAAUAAUUUGAUUCAGUCAAUACAAAUUAUAGGAACUUAGUCGAAACCUCAAAUCAUAUCAAACAACGCCAAAACCAUGAAUCAUACCCCAAUUCAAGCCUAAUGAAACUAAGAAUUUUCAACUUCUACAUCCAAUGCCGAAAUCUAUCAAAUCAAGUCCGGUUGACUUCCAAUUUUGCACACAAGUCAUAAAUGACAUAACAGACCUAUUUCAAUUUCCAGAAUCGGAUUCUGACCUCGAUAUCAAAAAGUCAACUCUCUGGUCAAACUUCCAAACUUAAAUUUUUAUUUUAGCCAUUUCAAGCCUAAUUUAACUACGGACUUUCAAUAAUUUUUCGGAUACGCUCCGAAAUCCAAAAUCACCAUACGGGACUAAUGGAAUUAUCAAAACUCUAUUCCGGGAUCGUUUACACAUAGUCAACAUCCGGUCAACUAUUUCAACUUAAGCUUUAAACCUUGGAACUAAGUAUUCCAAUUCAUUCCAAAACCUUACCGGACCUGCACCAAUUACCCCGGCAAGUCACAUAAUAACAGUAAGGCACAAAUUGAGCAGUAAAUGGGGGAACGAGGUUGUAAUACUCAAAACGACCGGCCGGAUCGUUACAUUCUCCCCCUCUUAAAUAAACGUUUGUCCUCGAACGGGUUUAGAAUCAUAUCUGGAGCCUCAACUAUAUGUGGAUAUUUGCUCCGCAUCUCCCGCUCAAUUUCCCAGGUAGCUUCUCUGACUGGCUGUUCUCUCCACUACACUUUCACUGAAGCUAUGUUCUUUGAUCUCAACUUUCGAAUUUGCCGGUCUAAAAUGGCCACCGGCUCCACAUCAUAAGUCAGAUUACCGUUCAACUGCACUGUGCUUAAAUACAAACAUGAGACGGAUCUCCGACAUACUUCCGGAGCAUAGAUACAUGAAACACUGGAUGAAUACCCGAUAGACUAGGCGGCAAUGCCAGUUCAUAAGCCACAUCUCCAUUCUUCUUAAGUAUUUCAAAAGGCACAAUAUACCGAGGGCUCAACUUGCCCUUCUUCCCGAACCUCAACACACCCUUCGUGGGUGAAACCUUGAGCAGAACCUUAUCUCCAACCAUGUAAGCGAUAUCACGGACCCUCCUGUCGGCAUAACUCUUCUGUCUAGACUGCACCGUGCGAAUCUGCUCCUGAAUCAAUUUAACCUUCUCCAAAGCAUCCUGAAUCAAAUCGGUACCCAAUAGCCUAGCCUCACCCGGCUCAAACUAACCCACUGGAGACCGACACCGUCUCCCAUAUAAAGCCUCAUAUGGAGCCAUCUGAAUGCUCGAUUGGUAGCUGUUAUUGUAAGCAAACUUCGUGAGUGGCAGAAAUUGAUCCCAAGAACCCCCAAAAUCAAUUACACUUGCGCGUAGCAUAUCCUCCAAUAUCUGAAUAGUGCGCUCGGACUGUUCGUCCGUCUGGGGCUGAAAUGUUGUACUCAAUUGAACCUGUGUACCUAAUUCUCGUUGCACUUCUCUCCAAACUAUGAUGUAAACUGCGUGCCCCGAUCCGAAAUGAUGGACACUAGCACCCCGUGUAGGCGAACAAUCUCGCGGAUGUAAAUCUCAGCCAACCGCUCCGAAGAAUAAGUAGUACCAACUGGAAUGAAAUGGGCGGACUUGGUCAACCGAUCUACAAUCACCCAAACAACAUCAAACUUCCUCAAAGUCCGUGGGAGUCCAACUACGAAGUCCAUGAUGAUACGCUCCCACUUCAACUCCGGAAUUUCAAGUCUCUGAAGCAAUCCGCCCGGUCUCUGAUGCUCGUACUUCACCUGUUGACAAUUUAAACAUCAAGCUACAAACCCAACUAUAUCUUUAUUCAUUAGCCUCCACCAAUAGUGGUUCCUCAAAUCCUGAUACAUCUUCGCGACACCUAGAUGGAGUACCGCGAACUGUGAGCCUCCUGGAGAAUCAACUCAGGCAAACCAUCUACAUUUGGCAGACAUAGCCUGCCCUGCAUCUGUAAUACACCGUCAUCCCCAAUAGUGACUUCCUUGGCAUCACCGUGUUGAACCGUGUCCUUAAGGACAAGCAGAUACUGACGUUCUCUGAUACGAUCAUAAAGAGAAGACUGAGAAACCACACAAGCCAAAACUUGGCUCGGCUCAAAAAUAUCCAAUCUGACAAACUGAUUGGCCAAGGCCUGAACAUCUAAGUCUAAAGGCCUCUCUGCUACCGGUAAGUAUGCUAAGCUGCCCAAACUCUCCGCCUUACGACUCAAGGCAUCGGCCACCACAUUGGCCUUUCCGGGAUGAUAAAGAAUGGUGAUAUCAUAAUCCUUAAGCAACUCCAACCACCUCCGCUGCCACAAAUUAAGAUCCUUCUAUUUAAACAGAUACUGUAGACUUCGUGAUCGAUAUAAACCUCACAAUGGACACUGUACAAAUAAUGUCGCCAAAUCUUCAAGGCAUGAACAAUAGUUGCUAACUCAAGGUCUUGGACCGGAUAAUUUUUCUCAUGUACCUUUAAAUGUUUGGAUGCAUAGGCAAUCACCCUACCAUCUUGCAUCAGCACUCCACCGAGACCAAUACGCGAUGCAUCACAAUACAAAGUAUAAGACCCUGAACUUGUAGGCAAUACCAAUAUUGGGGCUGUAGUCAAAGCUGUCUUGACCUUCUGAAAGCUCUCUUCACACUCAUUCGACCACCUGAACGGGGCACCUUUCUGGGUCAAUUUAGUCAAAGGCGAUACAAUAGACGAGAAACCCUCCACAAAGCGACGAUAAUAACCGGCCAAGCCGAGAAACUUCGAAUCUUAGUUGAAGAUGGCCUGAGCCAACUCUGAACUGUCUCUAUCUUCUUCGGAUCUACCUUAAUUCCUUCACUGGACACUAUGUGUCCCAAGAAUGCCACUGAACUAAGCCAGAACUCACACUUAGAGAAUUUGGCAUAAAGUCUCUCCUCUCUCAGCCUCUGUAAUACAAUACCCAAGUGUUGUGCAUGCUCCUUCUGGCUAUGUGAGUACACCAGGAUAUCAUCAAUAAAUACUACGACAAAUGAAUCAAGAUAUGGUUGGAAUACAUUAUUCAUCAAGUGCAUAAAUACUGUUGGGGCGUUGGUCAACCCAAAAGCUCUCAAAGGUAAGUUAAAAGAAUGGAGCAGAAGUUGUAAGGAAAAUCUGGGAAUGCAAAAAUCAAAACUGCUGAGUCAAUUGACAGGUUUUGAUGCAACACAACAAUCAAGAGCUCUGACAGAGGAGGAAUCAGUGAGGAAGGUAGCUAUCCUCAUGGAAUUUGAGGAUCACCUCAAGAAUGAAGAAAGUGCAUGGAGACAGAAAUCAAGGGCCCUGUGGCUCAAAGAAGGGGAUAGAAAUACAAAGUUUUUCCAUCGCACUGCCAAUGCACACAAGAGAUGCAACAAUAUUGACCAACUAGUGAUUCAAGAUGAAACAGUGGAGGAGCCAAACAGAAUAAAGAAUGAGAUCAUUGAAUUCUACAAGAAGUUAUACACAGAACCUGGAGAGUGGAGACUUGCAGCCAAUUUCGACAAUUGUCCCAUAAUUUCAGAAUUAGAGAAGGAGUCUCUACAAAGCAAAUUUGAAGAGCAAGAGGUCCUGAGCUGCCUGAAGAUGUGUGCAAGUGAUAAGGCCCCAGGUCCUGAUGGAUACACAAUGGGCUUUUUCAUUAAGUACUAGGAUAUUUUGAAGUAGGACAUCAUGGAGGCUUUCAAAAACUUUCAUUCCCAGGAGAUGUUUGAGAAAAGCUUCAAUGCAACAUACAUAGCUCUGAUUCCAAAGAAGACGGGGGCCAAAGAAUUGAGAGAUUUCAGGCCAAUCAGUCUGAUAGGGAGUUCAGCCACCAAUUUUCAAACUUACAGUAUGAUUUAUCUUGCUCCCAAGCACCACAACGUAGGGCCACAGGGGUAUGGUCAGAAAUCAACCUUUGUUGGAUAGUUUGCUUGAUAUUUCUGAAGCUAUCAUCUCAUUCUUCUGAAAUUAGAAAUCUGUCAAUUCUAGAAGCAGUGGUAUGAUUAUCCCCUUUGAACCAAGUGUAGGAGCCUCCCUCGAGUUGAAGAUCUAUCAACUCCAUGCCUUCUAUAAAAUUUGAGAAUUCCACCAUCUCACUGGACCUCCUCGAGCAGUCCCGUUUUUCAGAGGGGUACCUUGUGACAUUAAAGUCACCACAAACUGCACAAGGGCUUUCCAUCAGGCCCCUCACUGCACCAAUUUCCCUCCAUACUGUUCUUCUUUCUAUUCUGCAAUUAGGAGCAUAUACCCCGGUUAUAUGAUAUUGGAAGUUCUGUAAAAGAGCCUCGAACUUGCAUGUCAAAGUAUAUGCACCAAUCUGUAACAUCUCCCCUUUCCAUACUCUGCAGUCCCAUAGUAACAAAAUUCCCCCUCUCGUGCCACUAGCUUCUAAACAUGCAUACCUCACCCAUCUCCCAAACUAACAUACAUAAAAUUUAGAAUACAUACAAAAAAUUACAUUUGAAGCGGAUUUGGCAUGUUUCUUAUAACUAAUACCAGAUUCAAAGACCUUUUUCUUUUUUUUAGGUGCCGAAUUAGUUUGAGAACCAUUCACUUCUCGUUCAGUAUUUGAACUAAAAAUUUAAGCAUAAAUAAUCAAUAUUCAAAUAAUUUUAACAACGGAAAAGGUCUAAAAAUGUCACUCAACUCCCAGAAAUGGUUUAUCUAUGUCAUCCGUUAAAUAGUUGGUUCAUUCAUGCCACUAAGUUAUAUUUUUGGCUCAUUCAUGCCACUCAACUAACAGAAAUGGCAUAUCUAUGUCAUCCGUUUAAAGGUUGGUCCAUUCAUGCCACUGAAGUUAUACUUUUGGCUCAUUCAUGCCACUCAUCUAACAGAAAUGGCCUAUCUAUGCCAUCCAUUUAAAGGUUGGUCCAUUCAUGCCACUGACGUUAUAUUUUUGGCCUAUUUAUGCGAGUGUCUACUAACAGUUCCAUUUUAUGGUUUUUUCGUAAUAAGAAUUAAUUUUUUGACCCUGGCUUUCUCACGUGUCUUUAUAUUACUGGUUCUUCUUUACUUGACCCUAUAUUUCUUUUAACCCUGAUUAUGUAUAAUUAACCAUACUCAACCCGAUAAAAUUCAACUAGUCGUGAUGGCACAUAACCCAACCUGCUAGGUAAAUCAAUUAACAACUAUCCAAUUUAAUGAGAUUUUUUUAAAGAUAGAUAAAUGAUAAAAUAACUGAACCUUAAUAAAUUUACCACGGAGAUUUUUAAGUCUUUACAUGUAUACGUGUAGCCAUAAUCAUGUGUAAGAGUACUGUUGAUUCUGAUUUCAUAUUUCAGUUGAGAUCCUGGGUUGUAGUUUUGUAUCAUUAAUCUUGUGGCUAGAACUCUAACUCCCGAUGUAGUUCCCCUGAUAGUAGUAGGUAAUUUACACCAGAAAAAGAGAAUCUGUUUAUAGUUUCUAAAUGAGGUUUUGGAGAGUGAAAUUUGAUACAACGCCAUAAUUAAUUUAGGGAUCUCAUAAUUCAAUUGAUAAUAAGCAAGUACAGAAGUCGCAAUUCAAGAGUAGAAUUCAAGUGUAUUUCGAUCCACGACUUGGUAAGUUCACAUAUAUAGUAGCUCUUUUAUUAUUCUUUUUGUUUGACAUAUCUCAUCUAUUUUGAUUGAUUUUGUGUCACAGACGUGAUCGAGCAAGAUGCUUUAAAUCAGAUAUCUUGUCUGCAAGUUCUGAAGAAACUGAUCACCAAAGUUGAUUCAGAAAUUUCUGAGCUUGAAGAUGAUAUACUGAUGCUCCUGAGCCAAUUGGCCUGUAUCGAUGAGAAACGGUCUGGUAUGUGCUUUGCUGCAUUAAAUAAAAAGAUUGAUUGAUCACCUGGAAAGUUUGCUAAGGGCCUUGAAGAAUGAGAAUGAGCAGGUUUGCCUUUUGGAAUUAUCACAUGCAGAGCUUAUGAUCAUUACAAGUGCAUAUAAUGUUUUCAACAUGUCAAGUUCUUGAAGCAAAAAAAAAUAUACUAUCAUUGGUUUUGCAAUUAGUGAAAGAUGAAGUUGUUGUACAUAUUGAAUUAUCUAAUUAAUUGUUAUUGUGUACUCCGUCACGGUUUACUUAUUUAUUUUAUCUCAAUCUCUAUUGUUCCUUGUUGAUACAUUAUAUCAUUUCUGUUUGGGCUGAUUUUCAUGAUUACUGAGAGCCCGAGAGACUGAAGAGAUUUAUGACUGAUUGAGGCCGAGUGCCUGAUUGUGAGAUAUUAUACUAUAGCACGUGAGUUGUCCGUGCAACACGUGAGUUGUCCGUGCGAAUCCAGAUAUUAUAAUAUAGUACGUGAGUUGUCCGUGCAAAUCCAGAUAUUAUACUACAGCACGUGAGUUGUUCGUGCGGAUUAUAGCGCUUGGGCUGAAGGAGCCCCUCUGGAGUCUGUAUACACCCCCAGUGAGCGCAGAUACCUACUGAGUGCGAGUGCCGAGUGGUGAGCGAGUGGAAGGACUGAGUGACUGUUAUUCUGAGAGGAUGCAUUGAUUUCAUUAUUGUUGUACUUCAGUUAUCAUAUAUCACUAUUUUGGAAAUUUCUGAGAGAUAUUAUUUCCUGUUUCAGUCGAACUUGAUAUGAAAUUACUGUUUGGACUUUAAUUGUUGAACUUGCAAGCAUGUCUACUUUCUUACGUUGGAAAUUACUGUAAUUGGACUUAGUUGUGAAGCUCAUCACUAAUUUCAGUUCUUUAUUUAGUAUUGUUACUUUAUGAGUUGGUUGUACUCAUACUACAUUCUGCACCUCGUGUGAAGAUCUAGGAGCUUCCGGAUAUGGCGAUUGUUAGAUCUCAGAGUGUUAUCAGUUGGAAACUACCAAGGUAGCUGUUUGGCAUCCGUUGACCUUGACUCUCUCCCUUUCAGUUAUUAUACUGUUCUAUAUUUUCAGACAGUGUUUUAUCAGUCAGAUUUUGUUAUCAUUUAGAUGCUCAUGUACUCGGUGACGCUGAGUUUUGGGAAUGUAUUUUUAUGUCAGUAAUUCGUGAGAUUUUCUAUGAAAUUCAAAUAUUAUGUUUUCAAACUUAAAAGAAAUUGUGGUUUAUUUAGGUUGUCGGCUUGCCUAGUAUUGAGAUAGGCGCCAUCACAACAGGUUAGGAUUUUGGGUCGUGACAAGUUGAUAUCAGAACCUAGGUUACAUAGGUGUCACGAGUUAUGAGUAGGUUUUAUAGAGUCUUGCGGAUUGGUACGGAGACGUCUGUACUUAUCUUCAAAAGGUUGUUGAACCCUUAGGAAAAUUUCACUUUCUUGUAUUCUGUCGUGCGAAUUUGUUGAUUCCGGAAACUAAAUUUCUGUUAUUCUAUUCUCUCACAGAUGGUAAGGACACGUACUACCGGAUAGGACGGUCAGCCACCAGUGCCACCAGUUAGGGUCGCCAGAGGUCGGGGCCGUGGUAGAGGCCAGGGCCAAGGUAGAGGUCGAGGUGUAGCUCGUACAGCAGUUGGAGCAGCACCUGUAACACCACCAGUUGCUCCAGCUCAGGAGCAGAGUCCAGAUAUAGUUCAGUCGGCGGGACCAGCUCAGGCACCAGCUGUGCCCAUUAUGGUUCCAGGCCUUCAGGAGCCUCUAGCACAUAUAUUGAUAGUUUGCACUGGCCUUGCUCAGGUGGUUUCGGCUCAGGCCGCACCAGCCACUUCUCAGGCCGGAGGAGAUACUCAUACCCCUAUUGCCCGUACUCCAGAGCAGGUAGUGCAUGGACUUCAGAUACAGUAGGCACAACCAGCCUAGCUGGUUGCAGCUGCUCAGGCCCUGGUAAUCCCCGUUAUGGCAGAUGAUGAGCAGAGGAGACUUGGGAGAUUUGGGAGGCUUCGACCUCUAUCAUUUAGCGGUGCUGAGUCAGAGGAUGCUCAGGGUUUUCUAGAUAAGUGCCAGUGGAUGCUUCGGACAGUAGAUAUUCUGGAGACCAGUGGGGUCUCGUUCACUACUUUUCAGUUUUUUGGGGCUGCCUUCAGAUGGUGGGAGGCUUAUGAGAGGUGCAAGCCGGUCAGUGCAGUACCACUUACAUGGCAGGAGUUCUCUAUUCCCUUUUCAGAGAAGUUCGUGCCGCAGCCUCGUAGGGAGGAGCUACGCAGACAGUUUGAGCAGCUUCGGCAGGAUGGCAUGUCUGUGACCCAGUACGAGAUGAGGUUUUCUAAGUUGGAUCAUCACGCAUUUUGGUUGGUUCCCAUUGAUAGGGAGAGGAUUAUAAGGUUUAUUGAUGGCCUCACGUAUCAGCUGCGAUUGCUUAUGACUAGGGAGAGGGUAUGUGGUGCCACUUUUGACGAGGUGGUUGACAUUGCUCGACAGAUGGAGGUGAUCCAUAGCCAUGAGUGUGGUGAGAGAGAGGCCAAGAGGCCUCGAGGUUCGGGCCGUUUUGGUGGGGUACUUUCUAGGGGCAGUCCUAUCACAACAGGGGUCGCCCUUAUAGGCCCGCUCAGAUGACUCGUCGAGCUCAUCGUGGUGCAUUAUCUAGCCACGGUUCUUACAGUGCUCACUCAUGCCAGUCUUCAUUCAGUGCACUACCAGUGCAGAGUUCUCAUCAUGCCUCGUCCGCUCAGGCUUCUACAGGUAAUUCCUCGGAUUAUUAGGAGCAGCAGUUCCGUCAGAGGAGGGGUUGUUUCGAGUGCAGGGAAUUUGGUCAUUUCAAGAGAGAUUGUCCUAGGCUGUUGAGUGGGGCUCCACAGUAGAGUUCUCGGCCAACGGCACCAACACUAGCAGUUACACCACCCGCCUAGCCAGCUCGGGUGGGGCUCAGCCAGUUAGGGGUCGCCCAAGAAGGGGAGGCCGAUCAAGUGUCUGUCAGGCCCGAUUCUAUGCUUUUCCUGCCAGGCCACAUGUCGUUGCUUUAGAUGUGGUGAUCACAUGUAUUGUCUCAGUGUGCCACAGGGAAGCUUCUAUAUUAUUUGACCGUGGUUCUACUUAUUCGUAUGUAUCAUCGUACUUUACUCAUUAUCUAGAUAUGCCUCGUGAGUCCUUAGUUUCACUUGUUCGUAUAUCUACACCGGUGGGUGAUACUAUUAUUGUGGACCGUGUGUAUCGGUCAUGUGUGGUAACUAUUGGGGGACUGGAGACUAUAGUUGAUCUCUUAUUACUUAGUAUGAUAGAUUUCGAUGUAAUCUUGGGUAUGGAUUGGUUGUCUCCAUGUCAUGCUAUUCUGGACUAUCACGCAAAAACCGUACCGGUAGUGUGAGACUUUCCGGAGGUAUUUCCUGUAGACCUGCCGAGUAUGCCACCCAACAGGGAUAUUGAUUUCGGUAUUGACUUGGUGCUGGACACUCAGCCCAUUUCUAUUCCUCUAUACCGUAUGGCACCAGCUGAGUUGAAAGAAUUAAAAGAGCAACUGCAGGAACUUCUUGAUAAGAGGUUUAUUAGGCCUAGUAUGUCGCCUUGGGGUGCACCGGUUCUAUUUGUGAAAAAUAAAGAUGGUACUAUACGGAUGUGCAUCGACUACAGGCAGUUGAACAAAGUUACAAUCAAGAACAAAUAUCCUUUGCCGCGUAUUGAUGAUUCAUUUUACCAGCUUCAGUGGGCGAGGGUAUUCUCCAAAAUUGAUUUGAGAUCUGGGUAUCACCAGUUACAAAUUCGGGAUUCGGAUAUUUUAAAGAUGACAUUCAUAACUCUUAUUGGAAAACAGAAGAUAGUCAUAUACAGGUAAAAUUGUUCUUUUGGAUAUCAUGUGAUAUACUUAUGUAUGUUUCUUUUUAAAUGCAGCGUAAUACAAAUGGUAAGAUGAAACUUGGUAUUUGUUUUCAAUUUUAACAUUGUUAGUGAAUCGAAAAGAAGAUUAUCAACAACACAAGUUGAGCUUUUUAAAUCAACUUAUUUUGGGUAUUUGCUGGAUUUGCCUAGAAUAGAUUACAAUCUCAACUGAUAUAUUCUUUGUUGAUAAUGGAAGUUCAAAAAGAAAAUGAGGAUGAAAUGUAGUUUCUUGUCAAUGAAGUUAAGCUAUAUUUUAAUUUAUCUCAAUUUGCUUGUGUGACUGGAUAAAAAUGUACUAGGGAUGUAAAGUGCCCUACUUGGUCCAAGGGAAAGAAUAAUUAUUUAACUGAAAAAUAUUUUGUGGAUCACUCUUCUCUUGCUAAGAAAUGUCUUAAGCAUUAUUUUCUUAAUAAAAUGCCUAAACCUAAUGAAGAUGCUAUGAAGGUGGCAAUGCUCUAUGUUGGCCUAAGUGAAGAUUGUUUUGACGAUUGAUAAAGGAACUCAAGCAUGAACCAAGUCCAUACACAGUGUACACAAACACGGGUAGAUUCAAGCACAAGGCAUGCACGUGAAAGAGAUAAGAUUAAGUGGUUAUAUAUGAUAUCUCCUGAACGAAAGACUUCAUAAGUGAUAAGGAGAAUGACUCCUUACUCAAAGAUAACUCUAUCCUAGAUAAGGGAUGUCACGGUCCAAAAUCCUAACCUCUCAUGAUGACUCCUAUCUCAAUACUAGAUAAACCGACAACUUUAAUAAACUACAAUUUCUUUUAAGUUUGAAAACAUAAUAUUUGAAUUUCAUAGAAAUUCUCACGAAUUACUGACAUAAAAAUACAUUCCCAAAACUCGGCGUCACUAAGUAUAUGAGCAUCUAAAUGAUAACAAAGUGUGAUUGAUAAAAACACUAUCUAAAAAUAUAGAACAGUACAAUAAUUGAAAGGGAGAAAGUCAAGGUCAGCGGACGCUAAACAGCUACCUUUGUAGUCUCCAACUGAUAACACUCUGAGAUCUAACAGACGCCGUAUCGGGAAGCACCUGGAUCUGCACACGAGGUGCAGGGUGUAGUAUGAGUACAACCAACUCAGCAAGUAACAAUACUAAAUAAAGAACUAAAAGUAGUGACGAGUUUCAUAACUCAGUCCAAUUACAGUAAUUUCCAACGUAAGAAAGUAGACAUGCUUGCAAGUUCAACAAUUAAGGCCCAAACAGUAAUUUCAUAUCAAGUUCGACUGAAACAGGAGAUAAUAUCUCUCAAAAAUUCCCAAAACAGUGAUAUAUGACAACUGAAGUACAACAAUAAUAAAAUCAAAUGCAUCCUCUCAGAACAACAGUCACUCAGUCCUUCCACUCGCUCAACACUCGGCACUCGCACUCAAUAGCUACUUGUGCUCACUGAGGUGUGUACAGACUCCGGAGGGGCUCCUUCAGCCCAAGCGCUAUAAUCCGUACGGAUAACUCACGUGCUGCACGGACAACGCACAUGCUAUAGUAUAAUAUCUAGAUCCGCAUAGACAACUCACGUGUUGCACGGACAACUCGCGUGCUGCACGGACAACUCACGUGCUGCACGGACAACUCACGUGCUGCACGGACAACUCACGUGCUAUAGUAUAAUACCUCACAAUCAGGCCCUCGGCCUCACUCAGUUAUAAAUCUCUCCAGUCUCUCGGGGUCUCAGUAAUCAUGAAAAUCAACCCCAACAGAAAUGAUAUAAUGUAUCCACAAGGAACAAUAGAGAAUGAGAUAAAAUAAAUAAGUAAACCGUGACUGAGUACAAAACAAUAAUUUAUCAGAUAAUUCAAUAUGUACACUACCUCUGUUGGUCCCUACAAUGCCAACACAUAAUCUGAACAUGAUUUGUGAUUCGAUUUCUCUACAACAAGGAGAAUGUACAUAUAACAACAUAUUAUUCAACUACACGGUUCCAUGGCAUUUGACCAAAUCAUAAUUCCUACAAAGCACACCCAUACACCUGUCACAUGCAUGUGCGUCACCUCAAAACCUAUCACAUAACACAUAAUCCCGGGUUUCAUACCCUCAUAACCAAAUUUAGAACUAUUACUUACCUCAAACCGUGAAAUUCUUUAUUCUGCUAUGCCCUUGCCUCGCGAAUCGGCCUCCAAACGCCUCGAAUCUAGUCAAAAAUAAUUCGAUUCGGUCAAUACAAAUUAUAGGAAUUAAUUCCAUAUGAAAAUACUAAUUUUCCAGCAAAAUCCAAAAUUGCACUAAAAAUUUGUCUGUGGGACCCACGUCUCGAAACCCUGACAAAAGUUAUAAAAUAUGAACGCCCGUUCAACCACGAGUCCAACCAUAUAAAUUUUACCAAAUUACGACAUCAACUCGACCCUCAAAUAUUCAAAUUAAACCAAGAGGGUUUUCUAAAUUCUCCAACUUAAUUCACCAAUUAAAUGUUAAAAACAACCAUGGAUUCGGGUAUUUUGACCAAUAUUGAGUUAAGAACACUUAUCCCGUUGUUUUCCUUGAAUAGCUCCUGAAAAUCACCUCUUCAUGAGCUCCAAUUCGCCAAAUCUUGCUUGCCCCUCAGUUCUUCUUCGCGAACGCGAGAAUCCUCCCGCGAACGCGAUGAAAGAAUAUAGAUAGUGCAUCAGAAAAGUUCCAGCAGCAUUCCAAGUCCAAAAAGUUAUCCGUUAACCAUCCAAAACUCACCCGAGACCCCCGGGACCUCAACUAAAUACACCAACAAGUCCUAAAACAUCAUACGAACUUAGUCGAAACCUCAAAUCACAUCAAACAACGCUAAAAUCACGAAUCAUACCCCAAUUCAAGCCUAAUGAAACUAAGAAUUUUUAACUUCUACAUUCAAUGACGAAACCUAACAAAUCAAGUCUGAUUGACUUCAAAUUUUGCACACAAAUCAUAAAUGGCAUAACAGACCUAUUCCAAUUUCCAGAAUCGGAUUCUGACCUCGAUAUCAAAAAGUCAACUCCUCGUUCAAACUUCCAAACUUAAAUUUCUAUUUUAGCCAUUUUAAGCCUAAUUUAACUACGGACUUCCAAAUAGUUUUUCGGACAUGCUUCGAAGUCCAAAAUCACCAUACAGAGCUAAUGGAAUUAUCAAAACUCUAUUCCGGGGUCGUUUAUACAUAGUCAGCAUCUAGUCAACUAUUUUAACUUAAGCUUUAAACCUUGGAACUAAGUGUUCCAAUUCAUUCCAAAAUUUCACCGGACCCGCAUCAAUUACCCCGCCCAGUCACAUAAUAACUAUAAGGGACAAAUUGAGCAGUAAAUGGGGGAACGGGGUUGUAAUACUCAAAAUAACCGGCCGGGUCGUUACAAGGGAGGAGUUAGAAGUUGAAGAUAAUUAGAACUCUUCCACCAUGGAAGAGUAUAGCUUUAGAACUCUAGUUAUUUCCUAUUCACUAACUCUAUAUAUUGCAGGAUAUUCUCAUUUUAUAGGCACGCACAAACACUGAAUUUAAACAUGAGUUGAGAGCAAAAUAGCGAUGUAUUUUGCAAGCAAUUCCUGUGUGAUUCAAGUGUGCAAACCUUAAGCUACAUGAACCAAAUAGAAGAACCAGUUCCAAGUGUCUGUCUUUUAUUCUAGUUUCAUUGUAGUAGGGCUUUUGAGUUGUACCUUUCAGCUUUAUCUAGAAGUAAUUGUACUAGGUACUCUAAGUGUUAUAUUCAAGUUAUAGUUAACUUGAAGUUGUCACAACAACUAGAGGCUGGUUGCCACAAAGGGUUAGAGGUAAUCCUUAGGUUUACAAAGAGUUUUGUAAAUAUUAUUUUUGGCUCAGUGAUUUAGUGAAGUGUUGGGAAAAAUCCUACUAGGUAGUAGGUCGUAAUAUUUUCGCCUAUUGAGUCUGGUGUUUUUCACGUAAAAAUACUUAUGUUCUUUACGUUUUGCAUUUAUUAUUUCACAACAAUAGUAUAAGGAACACAUAGAAGAACCAGGUUCUUCUAUAAUCUAUGCACGCGAAAAAUUGGACACCACACAAAUCACUCCCCUCUUGUGUGGUAUUGAAAUACAAAAUAUCAAUUGGUAUUAGAGCGGGUUAUCCUUGAAGAUGCUAACACCUUAGGAGAAGACCAAGAUGAGUGCACCACCUAGAAACUAGGAAGGACAAUCCACUGUUAGGCCACCACUCUUUAAUGGACAUUACUUAUCUUGGUGGAAGAACAGAAUAAGAGAUCACAUUCAAGGAGAGGACUAUGAGCUAUGAGACAUUGUCACUGAUGGUCCACUAGCUACAUUGAAGAAAAAUGCUGAAGGAGUAGAUGUGCCAAAGACAAGAGCGGAUUGCACCGCUGAGGACUUUAAAAAGUGGGAGAAGAAUGCUAAAGCCAAGAAAUGGCUUGUUUGUGGACUUGGUUCAUAUGAGUACAACAUAAUCCAAGGCUAUGCCACUGCUAAGAAAAUUUGGGACACACUACAGGUGGCUCAUGAAUGAACUACUCAAGUGAAGAGAUCAAGAGUAAAUCUACUGUACUCUCAGUAUGAGAACUUUGCUAUGAAGGAUGGAGAAACCGUUCAAGAGAUGUACAACUGGUUCACUACACUGACAAAUAAACUGAAAUCUCUUGGAAAGAUUAUUCAUGAAGAAGAGAGGGUUGAGAAGAUACUUACUAGGGUCUUGUCAAUCACUUGGGAAAGCAAUAUCAUUGCCAUCCAAGAGUCAAAGAACAUUGCUGCUCUCCCACUAGAUGAAUUGAUUGGAAAUAUCACUGCCUAUGAACUUCAGAGACAAACCAUGAAGAUGGAUGUACCUAAAAAGGAAGGAAGCUUGGCACUCAGAAUAACUGAAGGUUCUGAUUUGGAGAAGAUGAUGAAAUGGAUAUGAUCACCAAAGACUUCAAGAAGUACUUAAGGAGAGGAAAGGGUUCUUCAAGAAGUGGAAGCUACAGCAAGGCAAAAGCUCCGGAGAAGCAAACCAAUGAUGGCUGCUACAAGUGUGGAAAACCUGAUCAUCACAUAAAAAACUGUCCUUUGUGGGAAAUUGAAUGAAAGAAGGAAAGAGCUGAACGAAGGAACGAGAAGAAGGAACAGGUUCAACCUAAGAAAAGUAACAACAAAGGAUCAACCAAGGCUAUGGCCACAACUUGGGGAGAAAGCUCUGAUGAUGAUGAUGACUGAGCACUUAUGGCCAUUGGAGAAUCUAAUGAAGAAACUAAGGUAUGUGUCUUUCAUCUCAAAGACAAUAUUAAAGUUUUGUCUAAAGAAAGGUAAUCUGAGUUACUACUAUAGCUAAUUGAUCAAUCUAAGGAUGUAAAUAACGAAAAGGAACAACUGUCUAAAGAAUGUGUGAUUUUGUAGGCUAAGUGCAAACACCUUGAACUUAGGGUUAGUGAAACUGUAAGUGAAAAUACUAUUGAAGAACUAGGUUCAUGCACUUGACUCGACUGUCCUAGAGCUUAGAUCUGAAAAUGUAAAAUUGAAACUAGGAACAGGUAAAAAGACAACCGAUCACACACAACUUACUUUAGAAGAAAAUGUAUAAAAAUAAAAGAUGAGUUGUACAAGAGAGAUGAACAGGUAAGAAUCCUAAAGGAGGAUCUAAGCAAGGUCAAGCAUGAGCUAGACAGAACUUGUAAAUGGGACAGGUCCUCUGAUGCACUUUCAUGGCUACAAGAAUAUCAUAGUAGCAACAGAAGAGACUUUGGGAACUCUACACCUAAGUGGGAUCCCAAAAGCAAGUACCUCACACUCUCUGAGAACAAGAUUUGCACACAUUGUGAUAACAUUGGUCACUAUAAAAGUGAAUGCACUACAAAAGAUAAGGCAAGUCAAAAGAAUAAAAAAAUUGUUCUAGGGAAAAAUAGGCUGCCAAGUUGGGCUAAAAAGAAUGUGAUUUAUCCUUUUGCCUAUAGAAAAGGAGCCAAAAUAGUUUGGGUUCCUAAGACUAUCCCCUGAUUUCUUUUUGCAGGUCCAAGUGAAGGGGAGCAGUCAAAUAUGGUACAUGGAUAGUGGCUGCUCAAAGCAUAUGACAGAAAGUAAGAACCAAUUUCUUUCACUUGAGGACCUUAAAGGAGGUAAUGUUUCCUUUCAAAAUGGGAAGAAAGGUGAGAUCAUUGGGGUUGGAAAAGUAGGUAAGACUGAUUCUCACUCUAUUGAGAAUGUCUACUUAAUAGAUGGACUGAAGUACAAUCUAAUAAGUGUAUCACAAUUAUGUGAUAGAGGUAACAUGGUAGCAUUCACCUAUACAAAAUGCUUUGUGAUUAAUCUUACCACUGAUAAGAUAGUUUUGAAGGGAAAAAGAGUGACCAACAUAUAUGUUAUGGAUCUGUCCACACUUUCAGAUAAUGAACACACUUGCUUAAGUGUGUUGGAUAAUGAUCCCCUCCUUUGGCCCAAAAACUUGGACAUGCCAGUCUAAGCCAACUCAACAAACUAGUCUCCAAGGACUUGGUAAUAUGGCUGCCUAACAUUAAGUUCAAGGAAGAUAAAGUUUGUGAGGCUUGUGCAAUAGGGAAGCAUGUAAUAUCCUCUUUCAAAAGCAAGAAAAUGGUAAGCACUACCGGGACGAUGGAACUGGUCCAUAUAGAUCUUUGUGGUCCAAUGAGAACACUAAGCAGUGGUGGUAAGAGAUAUGUUAUGGUGCUUGUUGAUGAUUACUGUAGGUUUACUUGGACAUUGUUUUUAACAUCAAAGAUGAAGCAUUUGACAUGUUCACUUCUUUUGUUAGAAAAACUCAGAAACAACUAGGUAAUCAACUUGCAUCAAUUAGGUUUGAUCAUGGUACUGAAUUUGAGAAUGCUAAAUUUGCUGAAUUUUGUGAUGAGCAUGGCAUAAAUCAUAAUUUUUUUUACUCCUAUGCUUUUACUGUUUUAUGACUUGCGGGGAUGUUUAGUUCGGAUUUGGAAGGGUUCGGGUUUAAAUUGGAACACUUGGUUCCUUAAGUUUUCCUUAAAAGGCUAAGUUUGACUUCGAUCAACGUUUUGAGUAAACGACCUCAAAAUUGGGAUUUGACAGUUUCAAUAGGUUCGUAUGAUAGUUUUAGACUUAGGCGUAUGUUCGAAUCGGGUUUUGGAUGACCCGGGAACAUUUCGGCGCCUAAUAGUGCAAGUUGGCUCCUUGAAGGAUUUUGAAGUUCUUUAAAUUUGGUUUAGAAAAGGUUUUGGUCAUAUCGAGGUCCAAAUAGGAUUCUAAGACUGGGAAUAGUUCCAUAAUAUCACUUAAGACUUGCACGCAAAAUUUGGCGUCAUUCCGAGUUGAUUUGAUGGGAAUCAGAUGCAUGAAAGUAUUUUAGAAGUUUUUGCAGUUCAUGAGUUAAUCUAUGCAUUUUGGUAUCCGAUUCGUGGAUUUUGAUAUUAUUUCGGUGUUUCGAUCGUGCGAGCGAGUCCGUAUGAUAUUUUAAGACUUGUGUGGAUGUUGGGUGUUGAGACCCGAGGGCUCGGGUGAGUUUCGGACAAUGUUCAGAAGGAUGAAGCUUCAGUUUUCUGGUGUUUUCUUUGCUGGUGUUGCAUGUGUCGCAAAUGCGAGAAAUAGUUCACAUUUGCAAACCUCGCAUUUGCGAUUAAGGCUUCGCAUUUACGAAGAAGUCUGAUCUGGGCAUAGCUCGUAUUUAUGAGAAAUCGAUCGCAUUUGCGACCUUGACAGGGUUCGCUUUUGCGAGUCCUUGGUCGCAUUUGAGACUUUGGUAGUGUGAGCCCAGGUUCGCAUUUGCAAUGUGUUUGUGGCAUUUGUGCACAACUUAUUAAGUGCGGAACUUAGGCCAUUUAGUUCAUUUUCUUUCAUCUCUUGGGCGAUUUCUGGAGCUCAUGGAAGAGGGUUUUCACCUAGCACUUUGAGGUAACUAAUUUCUAUACAACAUGAGUUAAUUUCAUAGAUUAGGGGUAGAUUAACAUAUAAAAAACUUUGUGAAAUCAAGGGUUUAGAUAAAAACCUAGGUUUUGGAUAAAAAUGAGAUUUGAUUACGAAAAUGGUUUUGGAAUUUUGUGGAAAUCAUAUAUUUGACUUCAUGAGGUUAUGGCUAACAAUUUUCUUCAAAAAUAUCCGGAAUCCGGGCACGUGGGCCAGGGGGGAGGGAGGUGAAUUUUGGAAAUUCUUCAAUUGGGGUAAUUACUUUAAUAGUUAGAAUAUGAAGUUUUGAGCCUAUAUUGACUAUUUUAUAUAACGUUUGACUAGUUUCAAGUCAUUUUGGCAGCAAAUUGAGGGUUUGAGCACAAAUCUUGGAUCGAAAAGUAGGUUUGAGACAACGUACGUCUCUUUUCUAACCUUGUAAGAGAGAAUUAACUCCAUAGGUGAGUUUAAUUAAUAUGUGCUUAUAAUUGUGGGGUCUACGUACACACGAGGUGACGAGAGGUACGUAGCUACUAAUUCUGCUUAUGUCCGAGUAAGUUUAGGGUUACACAUGCUUUGUUGACAUCGUCAUUUGAUUAUGCUUACUAAUUGCUUUGGAUAGAGCUGAGAUUGAGGAUCUCAAUGGCUUUUAAAGUUUCUAGCUGAAUUUUCUCGUUUUGGAAAGAAUUUAGGGAUAACUUGAGAAAUCUAUGUUCAACCGCAUCGCAAUUAUGUUCUGCGAGCGGGGUAAAUUUCCACUACUCUUAUGGGAGUGGGUCUUUCGCCUCGGAGGUUAAUAGAUGCAUCUAUGGUUCAUGUCGUUUGACCCUCGGCAGUGCACACAGUAUAUUUGUAUGCAUUUUGGAUCGGUUCGUACGUCCUCGGCAUAAUUCGUGCAAAAUGAUACUGGAAAUUUCAAUAUGAUUGAUAUUGCUUCAUUUGUUUAAAAGGUUAAAAAGAUAAAAUGGGAGAAAUUGAUUUGGUAAAUGCAUGAAAGGAUUAUCUAAUUAAAAUAAUUAUCAGUUACAUACAUAUAUUCUUUAUUAUUGACCCAUAGUAAGUGUCAAAGUCGACCCCUCGUCACUACUUCUUCGAGGUUGGACUAGAUACUUAUUGGGUACAUGUUGUUUAUGUACUCAUGCUACACUUCUGCACUUAAUGUGUAGGUUCUGAGGUAGGUGCUUCUGGAUAUCAGUCUGGCGCGUACACUUGAUUACUAUUGCGAGACUUUGCAGUGAGAUGUCUUCUGAGCCCGUUCUGUAGCAGCCGAAGUCUUCCUUUUGCUUUAUUUUCUAUCUAUUUUGUUCAGAUCGCAGUGCAGUACUUUUUAUAUAUUCUACUAGUAGCUCAUACACUUGUGACACCAGGUCUUGGGAAUUUAUGUUAGUAGGCACUUGGUGGUUUUGGGUUAUUUAUCUUAUCUCACUCAUUUUAAAAAUUUCGAUCUCUCAUUUUUAUAAAACUUUCAUUUCUUAUUUUGUGCAUAAAUUGAAAAUCAACUAUUUUAAACCGUUAAAAGAAAGAUCACGGAGUUAGCUUAAGGUUGGCUUGCCUACCGGUAAAUGUUAGGCGCCAUCACGGCCUAUAGGAGAAAUUGGAUCGUGACAAUAUGGUAUCAGAGCACUAGGUUCAUGUAGGUCUCAUAAGUCAUGAGCAGGCCUAAUAGAGUCUUGCGGAUCGGUGCAGAGAUGUCCGUACUUAUCUUCGAGAGGAUAUAGGGUGUUAGGAAAUUACUCUUUAUUCAUCUCCUAUCAUGCAGUUGAUGGUGUAGUAAGUUUCUUUCUCUUGUUCUCUCACAGAUGGUGAGAAUGCGCACCACAGACGUUCCAGACCCGGGAUGGGCUGCUCACCCAUUUUUCUAGAGGCCAAGGCAGAGGCCAGGGGAUGGCACCGACCCAAGGUAGGGGACUAGGUCGUCCCAGAGUUUCCCAGUUGUACCGCCAGCGGACCCAGUAGAGGAUCCAAUUGUUGAGGAACACGGCGAGGUGCUCGCACCAGAGCCAGCCCCGUUCUAUUUCAUGUCAGCACUGGGCUUUCAGGAGGUCAUGGGCCGUAUGCUAUGGUUCAUAGAUUCUAUGACCUAACUGGUUUAUUUCCAACAGACCCGGCCACAUCUCAGGUGGGAGAGGGAGCACAGACCCCUACUGCUUAGGCUCUUGGGCAUGCAACUGUCGUAUAUCAGACCCCGGGAACACUACUCAUGGGUGGAGCCCAACUAGUUGCAACAGUUGUACCUGAGCCUAGACCAGUUGCGAGCGGCGAGCCGUAGAAGCUAUUGGAUAGAUGGACCAGGCUUCAUCCUCCUGUCUUCGGGGGUGAGCGACAUGAGGAUCCCUAGGACUUCAUUUAUAGGUGCAGGGACAGACUGCACAACAUGAGUAUAUUAGAGUCCCAUGUGGUGGAUUUCACUACUUUCCAGCUGGAGGGCAGGGCCCGUAGCUGGUGGCAGUUACAUCUUCUCGGCAGACCAGCAGGUUCUCCUCCCAUGACUUGGGAUGAGUUUACACCCCUUUUCUUGGAUUGGUAUAUUCCACCCUCCCAGAAGGAAGAGUUGCAGUGUCAGUUUGAGCAGCUCUAGCAGGGUCAGGUGUCAGUGACCCACUAUGAGGCGAGAUUCUCUGAGUUGUCUUACCAUGUAUUUAUGAUACUUCCUACUGAUGGUGAGAGAGUAUGGAGGUUUGUUGCAUGAUUGCACUCCGCUAUUCAGGCUACUAUGGUUUGAGAGGUCGAGAUGCGUACUUCUUAUCAGCUGGUUAUGGAGAUAGCUUAGAGGAUUGAGGGUUAUCAUCAGCAAGGUAGAAAGUAGAUGCAACGGGACAAACGAUUCUAUUUUCCUGGAGAGUCGGCUGGGGGCAGAGGUCAGGUUGGGAGGGGUCUUCCUAGCAGGCCCACAUAUCCAGCACCACCAUCUCCUCAGGUUACUCCAGCGCGACCCUGUUUCAGUGCUAUGCCUGAGAGUUCUUAUCUCCCACCAGUUAUCCACGGUUCUUCCAGUGGGUACUCAGGCCCUCAAGGUUCUUCCAAUGCCUAUUUCAGUGCCAUGUCAGAGAGUUCAUACCGCCCACCAGCUAUUUAGGGUUCUUCCGGUGGGUAUUCAGGCUAUCAGGGUCAGACUUCAAGGCAGCAGUCCACCACUCCGGGGGGGGGGGGGAGGGGGUGGGGUAGUGGUAGGAGUACGUACGUACUCGUAGUACANNNNNNNNNNNNNNNNNNNNNNNNNGGGUUCGUUUCCGGNGGGUAGUUUCAGGGCUAUCAUGGGUGCAGACUUCAAGCAGCGAGCUCACUCGGGCGGGGNGGGGGGAGUUGUUAGGAGUGUGGAAAUCCUGGUCACAUGAAUAGAUUUUUUCCCAGACUCCGGGGCAAGGCGGUGCAGCAAAGUCAGUAGCCCAUGAUUUCAGCACCAGUAGCCGCACCAGCCAUCCAACCAGCCAGAGGCGGAGGGCAGGUGGGUAGAGGCCGUCCUAGGGGUGGAGGCCAGGUAGGUGGUGCUCCAGCUAGGUUCUAUGCUUUCCCGUCUAGACUAGAUGCAGUGGCCUCAAAUGCCGUGAUCACAUAUAUUAUUUCUAUCUACGGUAGGGAUGCUUCGGUAUUAUUUGAUCCAGGGUCCACCUAUUUAUAUGUGUCAUCUCUGUUUGCUCAUUUCCUGGAUAUUCCUCGUGAGUCCUUGGGUACUCAUGUUUAUGUGUCCACUCCAGUGGUUGAUUCUAUUAUUGUGGAUCGGGUCUGCCAGUCCUGCAUGGUUAUAUUCUGUGGCUAUGAGACUAGAGCGGAUCUUCUACUACUCGAUAUGACUGAUUUUGAGGUUAUCCUGGGAAUGGAAUGGUUAUCUCCAUAUCACGCCAUCCUUGAUUGUUAUGCCAAGACUGAUACCUUGGCGAUGCUAGAGCUUCCUUGAUUGGAGUGGAAGGGUUCGUCUAUCAGCAUACCUAGUCGGAUCGUCUAUUUUAUGAAGGCUCGACACAUGACCAAGAAGGGUUAUUUGUCUUAUAUAGCUUAUGUUUGGGAUACUACCGUAGAGACUCCAGCGAUUGAUUCGGUACCAGUAGUCUGGGAGUUCUCCGAUGUGUUUCCUUCUGAUCUUCCUGGUAUGCCAAUCGAUUUCUGCAUUGAUUUAGCUCCAGGUACCCAGUCUAUAUCUAUCCCACCGUACCGUAUGGCUCCGAAGGAGUUGAAGGGACAACUUGAGGAGUUGCUAGCAAAGGGGUUCGUCAAGCCGAGUGUAUCACUUUGGGGUGCACCGGUGUUAUUUGUGUAGAAGAAAGAUGGGACUAUGCGGAUGUACAUCGAUUACUGCUAGUUGAACAAAGUUACCAUUAAGAACAAGUACAUGUUGCCGCGUUGCAGGGUGCUAGGGUGUUUUCUAAGAUCGACGUGAGAUUAGGCUACUAUCAGCUAAAGAUUCGGGACUCGGAUGUUCUAAAGACUGCUUUCCGAACUAGAUAUGGCCAUUAUGAGUUUCUAGUGAUGUCCUUCGGCUUGACUAACGCCCCAGUGACGUUUAUGGAUUUGAUGAACAGGGUGUUCAUGCCCUAUAUUGAUUCAUUCAUCAUUGUCUUCAUUGAUGACAUUUUGAUCUACUCGCGUAGCAUGGAGAGCAAGAGCAACAUUUGAGAGUGGUGCUUUAGACCUUGCGGGAAUAUAAGCUAUAUGCUAAGUUCUCCAAGUGUGAGUUUUGGCUAGAUUCUGUAGCAUUCUUGGGGCAUGUUAUAUCAGGCGAGGGUAUUAAGGUGGAUCCCAAGAAGAUUGAGGCAAUUCAGAGUUAGUCUCGUCCCACUUCGGCGUUUGAGAUCAGGAUAUUCUUGGGAUUAUCAGGUUAUUAUCGCCGGUUUGUGGAGGGCUUCUUAUCUAUUGCAACACAUUGACUAGAUUGACGCAGAAGGGUGCUCCAUUCCGUUGGUCCGAUGAUUGUGAGGUGAGCUUCCAGAAGCUCAAGACAGCUUUGACUACCGCACCGGUCCUAGUGUUGCCUUCCGGUUCGGGGAUGUAUACUGUGAAUUGUGAUGCUUCACGCGUUGGUUUGGGUUGUGUAUUGAUGAUGCUUCACGCGUUGGUUUGGGUUGUGUAUUGAUGCAAGAGGGGCAAGUUAUUGCAUACGCUUCACGUCAGCUGAAGCCCCAUGAGAAGAAUUAUCAUGUGCAUGAUUUGAGUUGGCCGCGAUUGUUCAUGCUCUUAAGAUCUUGAGGCAUUAUCUUUAUGGGGUGUCCUAUGAGGUUUACACUGAUCAUCGUAGCUUGCAGCAUUUGUUCAAGCAAAAGGAUCUCAAUUUGAGGCAACAUAGAUGGCUUGAGUUAUUGAAGUAUUAUGACAUCACCAUAUUUUAUCAUCUGGGCAAGGCGAAUGUAGUCGCGGAUGCCUUGAGCAGAACAGAGAGUAUGGGUAGCGUGGCACUCAUUUCAGCAGAGGAGCGUCCACUAGCUUCGAACAUUCAGUCCUUGGCUAAUAGACUUGUGAGGUUGGAUAUUUCACAGCCCAACCGAGUUCUUGGAUGCGUAGUUGCCCAGUCUUCACUAUUGGAGCAGAUCAAGGCUCAACAGUUUGAUGAUCUGCACUUGUUGGUUCUCAGGGAAAUGGUACUACAAGGUGGUGCCAAGGAGGUUACUAUUGGCUAGGAUGGUGAUCUACACCUCCUGAGUCGUCUAUGUGCCCCUAAUGAUGAUGGCCUUAGGGAGAGGAGUCUAGAGGAGGUGCACAGUUCUAGAUAUUCCAUUCAUCCAGGUGCUAAGAAGAUGUAUCGCGACCUGAGAUAGCAUUAUUGGUGGCGGUGGAUAAAGAAAGACAUAGUUAAGUAUGUAGCUAGAUGCCUAAAUUGCCGGCAGGUUAAGUAUGAGCACCAGAGUCCAGGUGGCCUACUCCAACAGAUGCCUAUACCUGAGUGGAAGUGGGAGAGCAUUACUAUGGACUUUGUGGUUGGGUUGCCGCGGACUUUGUGGAAGUUUGAUGCAGUUUGGGUCAUUGUUGACAGAUUGACCAAGUUAGCACACUUCAUUCCAGUUGUGACUACGUAUACUUCGGAGAGGUUGGCCCAGAUUUAUAUUCAAGAGAUUAGUUCGGUUGCAUGGUGUUCCUUUUUCCAUCAUAUCAGAUAGAGGCCCUCAGUUUACUUCGCAUUUCUGGAGAGAAGUACAGAGUGAGUUGGGGACCCGUGUAGAGCUCACCACAACAUUUCAUCCCUAGACCGACGGGCAGUCAGAGCGGACAAUCCAGAUCUUGGAGGACAUGCUCAGGGCAUGUGUGAUUGACUUUGGGGGACAAUGGGAUCGAUUCUUGCCCUUAUCAGAGUUUUCUUACAACAACAGUUAUCAGUCCAGCAUCGCGAUGGCUCUAUUUGAGGCUCUAAGUUAUAUGGUACUGAUUUGGUGAAGGAUGCUUUGGAAAAAGGUAAAGUUGAUUCAGGAGCAACUUCGCACAAUACAGUACAGACAGAAGAGUUACGGAUCAGAAGGCGCAUGAUUUAUCAUUUAUGGUGGGCAAGAAGGUUCUCUUGAAAGUGUCGCCGAUGAAGGGGAUUAUGAGAUUUGAAAAAAAAAGGCAAGUUGAGCCCAAGGUUUAUAGGCCCAUUUGAGGUGUUGAGACGAGUCGGGUAGGUUUCUUAUGAGCUUGCUUUGCCUCCCAGUCUAUCGGGUGUUCAUCCAGUUUUCCAUGCGUCUAUGCUCUGAAGGUAUCAUGCCGACAUGUCAUAUGUGUUAGACUUCAGCACGAUUCAGUUAGAUGAGAGCCUGGUUAUGAGGAGGAGCCAGUUGCCAUUGUGGAUAGGCAAGUUCGCCAGUUGAGGUCCAAGAAUAUUUUAGUAAAGGUUCAGUGGAGGGGCCAACCAGUCGAGAAGGUGACUUGGGAGUCCAAAGAGGACAUGCAGAGCAUAUAUCCAAACUUAUUCAGCACUCCAGGUAUGAUUAACGACCCAACAUGUCAUUUUGCUUUUUAGAACCUCAUUCCCUUAAAUAAGACUCUUUGUAUGUGCUUUUACUGUUUUAUGACUUGUGGGGAUGGUUAGUUUGUAUUUGGAACGGUUCGGGUUGAAAUCGGAACACUUGGUUCCUUAAGUUGGCCUUAAAAGGCUAAGUUUAACUUCGGUCAAUGUUUUGAGUAAAUGACCUUGGAAUCACGAUUUGAUGGUUCCAAUAGGUUCGUAUGAUGAUUUUGGACUUAGGAGUAUGUUCAGAUCGGGUUUUGGAUGACCCGGGAGCGUUUCUGCGCCUAAUAGUGAAAGUUGGCUCCUUGAAGGGUUUUUAAGUUCUUUAAAGUUGGGUUUUAAAAGGUUUUGGUGAUAUCAAGGUCCAAAUAGGAUUACGAGACCGGAAAUAGUUCCGUAAUAUCAUUUAAGACUGGCACACAGAAUUUGGCAUCAUUCCGAGUUGAUUUGAUAUGAAUCAGACACGCAGAAGUAUUUUAGAAGUUUUUGGAGUUCAUGAGUUAAUUCAUGCAUUUUGGCGUCCGAUUCGUAGAUUUUGAUAUUAUUUUGAUGUUUCGAUCAUGCGAGCGAGUUUGUAUGAUGUUUUAAGACUUGUGUGGAUGUUGGGUGUGGAGCCCUGAGGGCUCGGGUGAGUUUUGGACAAUGUUCGGAAGGAUGAAGCUUCGGUUUUCUGGUGUUUUCAUUGCUGGUGCUGCAGGUGUCGCAAAUGCGAGAAAUAGUUCAUAUUUGCGAACCUCGCAUUUGCGAAGAAGCCUGAUCUGGGCAUAGCUUGCAUUUGCGAGAAAUCAAUUGCAUUUGCGGCCUUGACAGGGUUCGCAUUUGAGACCUUGGCAGUGGGAGCCCAUGUUCGCAUUUGCAAUGUGUUUGUCGCAUUUGUGAACCAGAUGUUGCAAAUGCGACAUUUGAGACAUGUGCACAGCUUAUUAAAUGUGGGACUUAGGCAAUUUAGCUCAUUUUCUUUCAUCUCUUGGGCGAUGUUUGGAGCUCUUGGAGGAGGGUUUUCACCUAGCACUUUGAGUUAAGUAAUUUCUACACAACAUGAGUUAAAUACAUAGAUUAGGGGUAGAUUAACAUGUAAACAAAAUGGUGAAAUCAAGGGUUUAGACGAAAAACCUAGGUUUUGGAUAAUAAUGGGAUUUGACCACGAAAAUAGUUAUGGAAUUUGGUAGAAAUCAUAUAUUUGACUUCAUGAGGUUAUGGGUAACAAUUAUUUUCAAAAAUUUUCGAAAUCGGGGCACGUGGGCAGGGGGGGAGGUGAAUUUUGGGAAUUAUUCAAUUGGGAUUGGGUAAUCAGUUUAAUAGUUAGAAUAUGAAGUUUUGAGCCUAUAUUGACUAUUUUAUAUAACAUUUGACUAGUUUCGAGUCAUGUUGGUACCAAAUUGAGGGUUUAAGCACAAAUAUUGGAUCUGAAAGUAGGCUCGAGACAAGGUAAGUCUAUUUUCUAACCUUGUAAGAGGGAAUUAACCCAAUAGGCGAGUUUAAUUAAUAUGUUCUUAUAAUUAUGGGGGCUACGUACGCACGAGGUGAUGAGAGUCCGUACAUAACUACUAAUUCUGCUUAUGUCCGGAUAAGUUUUAGGGUUACACCAUGCUUUGUUGAUAUCGUCAUUUGAUUAUGCUUACUAAUUGCCUUGGAUAGAACUGAGAUUGAGGAUCUCAAUGGCUUUUAAAGUUUCUAACUGAAUUUUCUUGUUUUGGAAAGUAUUGAGGGAUAACUUGAGAAAUCUAUGUUCAAUCGUAAAUUUUCACUACUCCUAUGGGAGCGGGCCGUUCGCCUCGGCAGGUUAAUAGAUGCAUCUAUGGUUCGUGUCGUUCGACCCUCGGCAGUGCACACAAUAUAUUUAUAUAUAUUUUGGAUUGGGUCGUACGUCCUCGGCAUAAUUCGUGUGAAAUGAUACUGGAAAUUUCAAUAUGAUUGAUAUUUUUUCAUUGGUUUGAAAGGUUAAAAAGAUAAAAUGGGAGAAAUUGAUUUGGUAAAUGCUAUCGGUGAAAGGAUUAUCUAAUUAAAUUCCUGCUUCUGAGUUUUAUUGUCAUUUAUAUAUCCCAUGUUUAAUUAUCAGUUAUAUACAUAUAUUCUUUAUUGUUGACCCUUAUUUAAUAUCAAAGUUGACCCCUCGUCACUACUUCUUCGAGGUUAGACUAGAUACUUACUGGGUAGAUAUUGUUUAUGUACUCACGCUACACUUCUGCACUUAAUGUGCAGGUUCUGAGGUAGGUGCUUCUGGAUAUCAGUCCAGCGCGCACACUUGAUUACUAUUGCGAGACUUUGCGGUGAGCUGUCUUCCGAGCCCGUUCUGCAGCAUCCGAAGUCUUCCUUUUUCUUUAUUUUUAUCUAUUUUGUUUCAGACAGCAGUGUAGUACUCUUUGUAUAUUCUACUAGUAGCUCAUACACUUGUGACACCAGGUCUUGGAAAUUUAUGUUGGUAGGCACUUGGUGAUUUUGGGUUAUUUAUCUUAUCUCACUCGUUUUAAAAUUUUCGAUAUCUCAUUUUUAUAAAACUUUCAUUUCUUGUUUUGUGCAUAAAUUGAGAAUCAACUAUUUUAAACCGUUAAAAGAAAGAUCGCGGAGUUAGCUUAAGGUUGGCUUGCCUAGCGUUAAAUGUUAGGCACCAUCAUGGCCUAUAGGAGAAAUUGGGUCGUGACAAUGAAUGAGUCUGCAUUCUCAAUGUUUAUCACAAGUCACAUUCUCUUCAAGGAAUGGAGUAUAGUCAUAGCGACGUGCUUUAUUAUUUUCCAUACCAAUUUGAUGGUAAACAUUUUCUUCACCUUUCGAAGGAUAUAUUUUGAGAACCAUUAUUGUUCUCCCAAUUGAUAAUGACCAUAAUGAUGACUAUUAUUAUUUUUCCAUUUGUUUGGCACCCCCACGUUCAUUGGUCAACCACUUAUCUUCAUUUAGACUUAUUAUGCACCGCUACUGCAUUCACUUCAAGAAUGGAGCAAAUCAAGUGGGACAAGCUUCAUGAUUUUUCAUGAAAAAUAUAUUAUUUUUAUUUAGUCAUCAUUAUAUCAUCAAUAUGUACAUUGAGACUAAAACUCAAUACCUUACCGAUAUAAAGGUACGUUAGACCAUAAUGAAUUAGGACUCAAACCCAAAUCUUAUCAUCAUGGAGUAUUAGGACUUUUACCUGAUGUCUUACUCUCAUGGUGCGCUAAGACUUAAAGCCACCAUCUUACCCUUAAUCAAUUUUAUCACCGUAUUCAGUCAUCAUAUAACUUUUAAGUUUUACCUCUUUUAAUGGUUAUAAGUAUAAACUCGUCUAGUGAUAAAUAAAACUUAAGAAUUGCAUCACUUUAUCACAUAUUUAAUUUGAUGCAACAUAUGAACUAUAUUAUUAGAAGAGAAAGCCAAAUAGUGGGUAUCCAAAUAAUCUAAUAUCUUAAUCAAGAUGUUAAAGCACAUCAAAUACUAUUAGUCCCCGAAAUUAUUAUUAUUAUUUAUUUAUUUAUUUUUAAAUAUGAUUUUCGAAAAAUUAUCAACCUAGAUAGACGAUAUGUGCUUCUAAUUAAUUAGUAUGGAUCAUAAUAUAAUUGGCAUUAUUUUUCAUGUGCCCAAAGCAGAAAAUUAACGUAAUAUAUUGCCUUUAUCAAAAUAGAAAACUAAAUGUAAAGUUUUUCACUCAAGUUGUCAUUAAGAAAUAUAUUCUAGAGAACAAACCACUCAAUAAUAAAUAUAUAUCACUUAAUUGUCAUCCUUAUUUGAACGUUAAAUAGAGCAUGAUUAUUAUAAAUGGGGAAUCGGUAAAAUCAAAAGAAGUAGAUUUCAUCUACACAAACACAUGUUGCAAUACCUAUAAGCAUACCUGAUUUUGAACUUAUGUUCUUGGUUGCAUUACUCAUUCUUUCGUAAUUCGUGCUAAUAACGUGCUAUGAAAUAUAGCUCAAAGUAACAAUAUAGAACAAGAAAAAAUAAGCUAGAAGAUAUAGAGAGAAAGACAGAAGAGAUUCUUAUUUCGUCUUCAAUUUUGUGUUCUUUCCGUCUAUUACAAGGCCUUUAUAUAGGCAUGAAAAGUGAAAAAAUAUUUUAUUGAAUAUGUCAUUAAUUAUUUGAGAUCAUGGAGGAAGAUCAUGGGGAGGUUAUGAAGUUACAAUCAUAACUCCAUAAGUAUUAUAAUAGUAAAAGUUAUAAAAAUAAUGGAGAAGAGUAGUGAGCAUUACUCCUUUGGUGGUUAUACAUCCGCCAUAAUUCAAGAUUUUAUAACAAAGCAUUAGUUUUGGCCCAUUUUGUUGCCUUUCGUUCCUCAAGAAAACGCAGCAACAGUAGUUGCUUUGCUUCUCCAUUUUAGCGAGAAAUGGAUGUCUUUAAGGAAACUUGGAAGCUUAAAAUUCUUGCAAGCCAAAGUGGCAACAACUACAAGAAUAGUAGAUCGUCUAGCUCUUGCUAUAUAUUUCUUCUAAAAUCUUAUGAACAUUUCAAGAUUGGAAUUUCUAGGGUUUGAGUCAAAGAGGUAAUUAUACUACUCAAGCUUCCUUUACGGUGAUUAAAUAAGGUUUUUUUAAGGAUACUUAUGGGUAAUAUUUGUGGAAUGAAUGGGUUAUUGAAGUAACCUUGAAAAUGACUGUUCUUGACAUUGAAAAGAUUAAGGAGGAAGAAGAUGAAUAGUAAGAAAUUAAUAAAAACAUGAUUUUUUGAUGAUGUUAACAACUUCUAGAGUUCAAUUAAGACUAAGCAUUGAGUUAGUGGAUAUAAAUUAUUGUUUGAAUGAUGAAAUGGAUGUUGGAAGGCUUAUAGUUAAUGUUUAGGCUUUAAAUGGGUUAUGAUAGGCUCAACUGGAUAAUAAUUGAGCUCCAAUUGAAUAUGUGUGAUAUAGAUUGAUGUAACUGGAUGUGUUGGACAUUGUUGAGCCUGUUGGAAAGCUAAUCCGAGGUAAAUUAAGAUGCACUUUCUUUUAAUGAGUUUUUGACGAAUUCCAAGAAUUUCAAAGUAUGCUUAAAGCUGUUUAAAUGUUGGCUUGGUUUGUUUGAGUGAGUGAUCGAACCUUACCUUCCAUGAUUUUAACGUUAUGUGAUGUUUUGUGCUAACUUAUAGUAUCAUAUAUGUAGUAGGACUUGCAUUGUUGGUCAUUUUAUGACUUUUAUUGAAUGAUAGUACUUUAAACCACGAUUAUCAGUUAAUUUGAAUCAAUGAUUAUUACAAAUUUUGAAACUCAUUAUCUUUUGAUUUUCAAUUUAGCGAAGUAUUUUCAAAGGUUAUCAGUUUAUAAAAGUCAAAAGAACUUUAUCGAUUUCAAAGUAUAGAACUGAGCUAUUAGCCUUAAGAGCCAAUUAUCGAAAAAUGUUCAUAGGACCUACGAGUCAUAGAGUUUAAAGAAAAAUGUAUUUGAAAGGACCAUAGUUAUUAUCGUUGAUGCGUACCAUAUAUUAUCUAGAGAGACACCUUACCGUGCUAGCACUAUUGCAAAAUCUCAUAGCAAUGGGUGAUGCGGCCUAGUGACCAGGCGAUGGUCACUAUCGUCAAUAUCCGUCGGGUGAGACGCCCAAGUUGACCGGGGGAUGGUCAACAUACAGAUUCAAAUACUGAUUAUUGUUAUAGUUAUUCUAGCUUAUGUGUACCAUAUAUUGUCCAGAGAGACACCUUGUCGUGCUAGCACUAUCGCCAAAAUCCCAUAGCAAUGGGUGACACGGCCUCGUGACCAGGCGAUGGUCACUAUCGUCAAUAUCCUUCGGGUGAGACGCCAAUGUUGACCGGGGGAUGGUCAACAUACAGAUUUAAACACUGAUUUUCAUCACGAUCAAAAAAUUUCCAAAUUAUCGAAAUGACAAAGAAAUACUUAUAAUUUAUAAAAAGGUGUAUAAUUGAUAAAAAUGAUCUAACAUUGUGUUUAAUAUUACAUGAAAAUGCUUUUAGUGCUCAUUAUUUUUCACAAGUAAUUUUAUGAAAUCUCAUACUUAUCAUACUUUAUGUAUCUCUAAAGUAUCGUUCCAACCUUAUCGGAAGGAGUCAAUGCUAUUUACGGGGUACAAUUAUUUAUAUUGUACUCAUCCCUUAUUUUUUUUGGUGGGCAUUGUGUGACAUUACAAAUAGAUUUGCCUUGGUGGUGGCGAGGCGAGGCGAAUUAGGUUGCUACCACUCCUACUUCACUACUUAUGGUGAGCUUUACCUUCUUCAUCAUGAAAGUUACCUUAUAGUUGCCUAUUCUUAUGUAUAUCGUUAGAGGUUCCAUGGCAUAUAUUGUGGGAGGUCUAGUUAUAUAUAAAACAAUAACUUCAUUAUCAUUAUUUGUUAUAAAAAAAUAAUUUAAACGUUUCAUCGAAUUAUCAUAUCAUUAGUUCAUGAAAGGAUUAUAUAGUCACAGUGGUUCGCUCGAUGCUAGUUAACGACAUUGGAUGUUUGUCACAUGUGUAUACCUAAAAUCGGGGCGUGAUAAAAUUUGGUAUUAAAGCGCUAGGUAGAGUAUGUCUUAGGGUGUCAUUGAACCGUGUCUAGUAAAAUACUACUUACUGAUGUGUUAUAUGUCGCACUUAUAAUUGGGAGGCUACCGGAUAAAUUUGGAAUGUUUCCCCUUUCUGAUAUUCUAGAUCUUGCAUUAAAGCGUAAAGUGAGAACCUAUCUCUCUUUUUCGUGAUUCGCAUAUAUGGUUGACACUUGGCAUGUUCGAGGGGCACACGAUUCGAUUCUUAUGUAAUUGCAUUGGCUUCUUGAAAUGUCAUGCCUGUGGUAAUUGAUGACCCAUUGUAUGGGCAUGUAAAUAUAAUAAUAAUAAAAAUAAAAAUAAAUAAAUUCGUUGGUUAUAGUGCUAAAGGCCUAUUUGAAAUAAGAUGGGAUAAUGAUAUUUCUGUCAGUUCUGUCAAAGUGAUAAUGGGACUCNNNNNNNNNNNNNNNGUCGACAACCUCAAUAAACCACAAUUUCUCUUAAUUUUAAAAAUAUAAUAUUUAAAUUCAGUAGACAAAUCUCACGCAUCAUAUAUAAAUACAAUCCCAAAACCCGGUGUCACUGAGUACAUGAGUAUCUAAAUGAUAACAAAUCUGACUGAUAUAAUCACUGUCUAAAAAUGUAGAACCGUACAAUAACAUAAAGGAAGAGAGUCAAGGUCAGCGGAUGGCAAGCAACUACCUCGAUAGUCUCCAACUAAUAACACUUUGAGAUCUAAUAACCGUCGUAUUUGGAAGCACCUGGAUCUGCACACGAGGUGGAGGGUGUAGUAUGAGUACAACCAACUCAGCAAAUAACAAUACUAAAUAAAGAACUGAAAGUAGUGACGAACUUCACAACUAAGUCCAAUUACAGUAAUUUUCAACAUAACAAGGUAGGCAUACUUUCAAGUUUAACAUUUAAUGCCAAAACAGUAAUUUCAUGUCACGUUCAACUGAAAAAUAAGAUAAUAUCUGUCAGAAUUUUUCAAAACACUGGUAUAAGACAGCUGAAGUGCAACAAUAAUAAAAUUAAAUGUAUCCUCUCAGGACCAUAGCCACUCAACCAUUCUCAGCACUCGCACUCAGUAGGUACCUGCGCUCACUGGGGGUGUGUACAGACUCUGGAAGGGCUCCUUUAGCCCAAGCGCUAUAAUCUGCAUGGACAACCCACGUGCUAUAAUAUAAUAUAUGGAUCUGCACGGACAACUCACGUGCUGCACGGAUAACUCACGUACUAUAAUAUCAAUAUCUGGAUCCGCACGGAUAACUUACGUGGUGCACAGACAACUCACGUGCUAUAGUAUAAUAUUUGGAUUCGCACGGAUAACUCACGUGCUGCAUAGACAACUCAUAUCCUAUAGUAUAAUAUCUCACAAUCAGGCCAUCGGCCUCACUCAGUCAUAAAUCUCUCCAGUCUCUCGGUCUCUCAAUAAUCAUGAUAAUUAGCCCAAACAACAAUAAUAUAAUGCAUCAAUAAUGAACAAUAGAUACUGAAAUAAAAUAAAUAAGUAAACUGUGACUGAGUACAACACAACAAUUUAGCAGAUAAUUCAAUAUGUACACGACCUCUGUAGGUCCCUACAGUGUCAACACAUAAUCUAAACAUGAUUUGUGGUUCAAUUUUUUUACUAUAUGGAGAAUGUACAUAUAACCACAGAUUAUUCAACUACACAGUUUCAUAAAAUUUGACCAAGUCACAACUCCUACGGUGCACGCUCACACGCCCGUCACCUAGCGUGUGCGUAACGUCAAAACCGAACACAUAACACAAAAUCCGCGGUUUCAUACCCUCAAGACCAAAUUUAGAACUGUUACUUACCUCAAACCGCGUAAUUCUUUAUUAUGCUAUGCCUUUGCCUAGCGAAUCGGUCUCCAAACGCCUCAAAUCUAGUCACAAAUAAUUCGAUUCAAUCAAUACUAAUUAUGGGAAUUGAUUCCAUAUGAAAAUAUUAACUUUUCUAACAAAGUUCGAAAUUGCACCCAAAAUUGAAACCCGACAAAAGUUACAAAAUAUGAACGCUCAUUAAAUCACGAGUCCAAUCAUAUAAAUUUUACCCAAAUCCGACAUCAACUCGACCCUCGAAUCUUUAAUUUAAACCAAGAGGGUUUUCCCUAAAUAUUCAAAUUUAAUUCACCAAUUAAAUGUUAAAAAUAACCAUGGAUUCAGGUAAUUUAACCAAUAUUGAGUUAAGAACACUUACCCCAUUGUUUUCCUUGAAAAUCUCCCGAAAAUCGCCUCUUCCCGAUCUCCGAUUAGUCAAAAAUAAAAAAUGGGACAAAGUCCCAUUUUCAGAACUUAAAGUUUCUGUUCAGGCGUUUCUUCUUCGCGAACGCGGAAGCUUCCUCGCGUUCGCGAAGCAAAAAAUUGUGCUGCCUGGAUUUCCUCCUUCGUGAACGUGAGCCCGGUCUUACAUACGCGAAGACCAAAUUUCCCCCAGGCCGGCUUUCCCUUCCGCGUACGCGAGGCCUCGAUCACGAAUGCGUAGCUUUGUCCCUCGACCCUUCGCAAACGCAUGCCCUCGGUCGCGGACGCGUAACUUUACCCCUCGACCCUUCGAUAAUGCGUAGCACAAAAUGGUCCAGUCCAAAUGCCCUCUUCGCGAACGCGAUACUCCACUCGCGAACACGAUGAAGGAAACCAGAUACAGGCAUGAGAAAAUUCCAACAACUAUUUAAGUCUAAAUUUCGAUCCGUUAACAAUCCGAAACUCACCCGAGGCCCUCGGGACCUCAACCAAGUAUACCAAUAAGUCUUAAAACCUCAUACGAACUUAGUCGAAACCUCAAAUCACAUCAAACAAUACUAAAACCACAAAUCACACCCCAAUUUAAGCUUAACUAAACUAACGAAUUUCAACUUUUACAUUCGAUGCCGAAACCUAUCAAUUCAAUUUCAAUUGACCUCAAUUUUUGCACACAAGUCAUAAAUUACAUAAUAGAGCUAUAAAAAAUUUUAGAACUGGAUUCCGACUCCGAUAUCAAAAAGUCAACUCCCCGGUCAAACUUUCAAACUUAAAUUUCUAUUUUAGCCAUUUCAAGCCUAAUUUAGCUACGGGGUUCCAAAUAAAUUUUCGGACACGGUCCUAAACCCAAAAUCACCAUACGAGACUAUUGGAAUCGUCAAAACUCUAUUCCGGAAUCGUUUACACAUAAGUUGACAUCCGACCAACUAUUUUCACUUAAGCUUUAAGUCUUGGAACUAAGUGUUCCAAAUUCAUUCUAAACCUCCCCGACAAGUCGCAUAAUUAUAAUUUGACACAGGAUAAGCAAUAAAUGGCGGAAAAGGGUUGUAUUACUCGAAACGACCGGUCGGGUCAUUACAUUCUCCCCUACUUAAAUAUACAUUCGUCCUUGAAUGUGCCAAGAUUUGUUCCUAUGCCUUUAAAUCAUUAUUCCACCUUAUCAUGCACAUACCUGGGGUGAUCACAUGUCCCUCUAUUCUAUGUAGGUCUGGCAACAUAAUAUAACUGGAAGUCAUUAAUUCAACCUUAGGUCAUAAACCUUGAAAUUAAAUUUCUAGCAUUCAGAAUUUCUUUUUCAAGACCCGAAUCUCACAUCUACAUAUUGUAUAAAUCUGAAUAAACUAUAUUUAGCCAUAACCAUAACCCCAGAUAUAGUCACAUAACAUACUACACAACUCGCAUGAUUGCAACACCAUUCCCGAUCACAAUAACUACUCCAAACUAACCAAGUACUAGUAUUAAACCCCACAUCCCACAUAACCUCGUUCCAAAACCUUCAAACAUUGCCGAUAAUGAAAGAAACAUACAGGAACUCACAACCACUUACUAGAUCAGCAGGUCAUAGAGCUUUCCCUCAUUCAACAGGUACCAUGGCCAAUUGUUUAAGCCGAAUUCUAAAUUAUUCUUCCAACACGUUGUAAUCAAAUAUGAUAGUACCCAUUCUAGGUCCAAUGACCUUAUAUUAUGAAACAUAUUUAUUCCACAUACAUGCCAUACUAAUAUAACUCCAUUCUCAACUGCACAAUUUGUGUACCAAAAAUGGAAAAUGUCUCAAACAAGAGAACCAUUUUGCAAGUUCAACAAGCACCACUACAACCGCAAUGCUAUGAGCUCAUCAUAUAUAGCAGAACCAAGACACACGAAUCUAAUAAUGAUAACCAGCUUUUCUAGAUCUCACAUUAACAUCACUUGUACAUGGCCUAAACCUCACAUAUAUGUGCACUCCUAGCGCGUAGCUAUCACAAAUAAUUAACGCAACUAGUGCCCCCACUGAGUUUAAAUAAAGCAUUCACCUCAAACAGGAUGCAAUCCUGAAAUAAUAUGCUUCUGAGAACUCUCAGUCUCUAAUUUCAUAAAAUACAUGAAUCACCGUAGCUGAUCCCAACUCCAGCACUCGAAUGGCUAACACACAUUUCAUGCACGAUCAUCCGACCAGGAGUACUUUCAUAAUUCUUCCGUGCCACAUAGAAAUAAUUUAAAUAUCAACAGUCUAUCAACCAGGUGAGUAUCACAAUACUGAUGAAAAUCUGUAAGUCAAAACGCAAUGCGCCUUUUAAAAUGCGAUCCCUUCUCAGGGAUUACCGUGCAGUUAGAACAUUCAUCUAAAUAUGUGGAACUGACCAUUCUGCCCAGAAUUCGUGACCUUCCUUCCAUGAAUGAACUGCCACCUUGUACACGUAAAUCUUAAUCCCGCGCUACACACCACAUCUAUCAUUCCAUCAUGUGACAAGCACGAGAAUAUCAUUAUCAACUUUGGGUAACCAAUAAAUUACAUACCCAGUCAUUUAGUAACCUUCAUCUUGCUUCCUUCAAGGAGGAAUUCAUAAUACACAACACGUUCCCUACACCAGUAGAAAAUAUCCGGUUCAACCCAUGGUAGAAACAAUUAAGAACACUUUGAAAUCCAUUUGCACAUAACCAAGCUAUCAGAACUAAUUCCCUCUAACUCGACCAAGCCACGCAGGUCACCAAACCCAAGAAUAUUGCCACCAAAAUUUCUGUAAAGUCUCACCACAUCAUAAUUACCCCAUAAAUACCACAACCGUAACACUCACUCUGAAAAUACCUUAUAUGAAUUUAAAAUUAUUCCACUUUCCUUUCUUAUACUGAAAUGUAGAAUUCAUAGUCAUACAAAAUUACCGCAAGUCUCGACACCUUCAAAUGCAAAUCUCAGAUUUUAUCCAUAUACAAGUCCGAAAAUAUUCUCAGUUGCUAUAUAUAAUUCUUGAACCCAUUAGAGCUUUUUCGGGAGUUACCCACUUUGCUCAAAUCUAAAUUACACCGGCCAAACAGGCCGAAAGGCACAAGCCCCAUUAGCACAACAACCCCCAAAGAAGUAACCCUACCUUAACACCACCAAUCAAAUUCAUACUUCGUGCGCACUAUGUUCUUCAAAAUAACAAUUUAAUCAUUCCAUGUUUUUCAUAUAUUUAUAAAGUUCCAUAUAACCCAUAUUCAGGAAUUUCCUUACUCGAGUCAUCCUCGAUCUCCAUCUCUGCAAGUCAUAACUGAUCCAUAAGUAUAUCUCAGACCAAAACUAAAAUUUAGCACAUAACCAUGAAAUCAAAUUGUCAAUAGCAGGCUCCCCCACUUAGCUUUAAGCUACAAUUAUAUAAACUUAGAACCCGCAAGGAUUUAUCCUUCUCAAUUACCAUGAUCUCGCACCGUUAACUUCUCAAAGUCUUUUGUUAAGCUUUUCAUGGACAUUCUGAAUCACCAGCCACAGUCACGCACUCGACCUCUUACCGGGUAGCAAGUACUAUUCCUCGCAUAAGCUUCAUCAAUAUUAUGCCACCGCUAACUGCUCACCGGAGAUAACCCACAUGUGGAAUUCCUUACCGACAUCUUCCAACGACGAUGCACUGGGUACAACAACCACGUAAUCAGUAAAUUCUCCUAAGCCCAUGCUCGCCCAAUAUCUGUAUAAGUCUGCACUUUCCCUAUUGACAUCAACUGAAAGUUCAACAAUACCUUCCGAACUCAAGUCAUAUUGCACUUGAAACGAUAAUCAGAUCCUCACAUCCCUCUUCAUUUCAAAAGAACUCCUUUUUGCCAUAUUCAAUCUUUCUUCGUACAAUAACCAUCAUUCCAAAUAAAGUCUAUAGGCCAAAUCACAUUCCAUCAUGAUUCCCAAACCGUUAUAUACUUUCUCAAGGCGUGCGACUACCCUACCACAGAAUCCAUAUGCUAAUCUGCCACUCUUACUUUGGUUAAACCAUCUCCUUUAAGCAACUUCUCAACCUCUACUUCUCCUACUUGACUUGUUAGUACUUCAACCACCGCAAAACACUUCCCGUCAUGUAUUCCAUCAUACUUUGCUACCCAACUGUUGCAUCAAAUCAAAACGCAUCUCUGUAGCACCUAAACCAAUAAAAAUGUUACCGACUCUAAGCCUCUUCGAAGAUCAUCUUUCUCGAGCCAUCAACAUUAGAGAUACCAAUUCGAUUCUGAACAGUUGCACACAACUAUCUCUGGCAACCGCCCCUCAGGCACCAUUUCACAACACCCUGCCCCGAAGGCAAAAUCCAAGAAGACCGUAACACCGGCGGACCAUAAUGCGUUCAAACAAGGACGACGACAUCACAUCACAAUGAAAAUUCCACCAUGCUCGCAAAUAUCAAGUCUUGUUACUUUAACAACCAAACUUGGACAUCUAUAGUCCAAUUGCCUUUCCUCCGAUGGAAUUAAUUGCUGAACCCCUUAAUCAUGCACUGAGAAAUCCUCUCUUCGAGCCAUUCACCGCCUCAACACAUAACGAUCACCUUACCAUUACACCAACAUUGUGCGAUAACAACGCAUAGCCAUCGUAGCAACCCAUGCACGGUCUCGAAAUCAUAGAAAAUACAGACACUGAGCUGGAAAAAAAGAACAUCCUUCUGCAAGGCAACGAUAAUAGCCUACCCUAACACGCAGGGAAAAACAUCCUGCACCAUGUUUUCAAUACUACUACAACUCCUCGACACCCAAUUAAUAACAAGCGUUUCGCGUUGCAUAAGAUUGAGUAGGAAGGAAAUAAAGGCACAAGCCUCAAUAGAAUCAAACUGCACGAUGAGGAAGUCAAGAAGGGAAGUGCUCCUAACAACCCUGUAGCCUCUUGAAGAUAAGUACACACAUCUUUGUAUCGAUCCGCAAGACUCUACUAGCCUUGCUCAUGACUCGUGUGACCUAUGUAACCUAGGCUCUGAUACCAACUUGUCACAACCCAAAAUCCUAACCUGUCGUGAUGGCGCCUAUCUCAAUACUAGAAAAACCGACAACCUCAAUAAACCACAAUUUCUCUUAAGUUUCAAAACAUAAUAUUUAAAUACAGUAGAAAAAUCUCACACAUACAGAUAUAAAUACACUCCCAAAACUCGAUGUCACUGAAUACAUGAUUAUCUAAAUGAUAACAAAGUCUAACUGAUAAAAUCACUGUCUAAAAAUGUAGAACAAUACAAUAACAGAAAGGAAGAGAGUCAAGGUCAGCGGACGCCAAGAAACUACCUUGAUAGUCUCCAACUAAUAACACUCUGAGAUCUAACAACCGUUGUAUCUGGAAGCACCUGGAUCUGCACACGAGGUGCAAGGUGUAGUAUGAGUACAACCAACUCAGCAAGUAACAAUACUAAAUAAAGAACUGAAAGUAGUGACAAGCUUCACAGUUGAGUCCAAUUACAGUAAUUUCCAACAUAACAAGGUAGGCAUGCUUUCAAGUUCAACAUUUAAUACCAAAGCAGUAAUUUAAUGUCAGGUUCAACUGAAACAUAAGAUAAUACCUCUCAGAAAUUUUUCAAAACAGUGGUAUAAUACAGUUGAAGUGCAACAAUAAUGAAAUUAAAUGUAUCCUCUCGGGACCACAGUCACUCAGCCAUUCUCAGCACUCAACACUCGCACUCAAUAGGUACCUACGCUCACUGGGGGUGUGCACAGACUCCGAAGGGGCGCCUUCAUCCCAAGCGCUAUAAUCCACACUAACAACUCACGUGUUGCACGAACAACUCAUGUGCUAUAGUAUAAUAUAUGGAUCCGCACGGACAACUCACGUGCUGCACGGAAAACUCACGUGCUAUAGUAUCAAUAUCUGGAUCCACACGGAUAACUCAAGUGUUGCACGGACGACUCACGUGCUAUAGUAUAAUAUCUCACAAUUAGGCCCUCGUCUUCAUUCAGUCAUAAAUCUCUCCAGUCUCUCGGGCUCUCAAUAAUCAUGAUAAUCAGCCCAAAAAAUAAUGAUAUGAUGCAUCAAUAAUGAACAAUAGAGACUGAGAUAAAAUAAAUAAGUAAAUUGUGACUGAGUACAACACAAUAAUUUAGCAGAUAAUUCAACAUGUACACGACCUUUGUGGGUCCCUACAGUGUCAGUACAUAAUCUAAACAUGAUUUGUGGUUCAAUUUCUAAACUACAUGGAGAAUGUACAGAUAACCACAGAUUAUUCAACUACACAGUUCUAUGGAAUUUGACCAAGUCACAAUUUCUACGGUACACGCCCACACGCCCGUCACCUAGCGCGUCACCUCAAAACCGAUCACAUAACACAAAAUCCGCGGUUCUAUACCCUCAGGACCAAAUUUAGAACUCUUACUUACCUCAAACCGUGUAAUUCUUUAUUCUGCUAUGGCUUUGCCUCGCGAAUUGGUCUCCAAAUGCCUCAAAUCUAGUCACAAAUAAUUAGAUUCAGUGAAUACUAAUUCUAAGAAUUGAUUCCAUAUGAAAAUAUUAAUUUUUCCAACAAAAUCUAAAAUUGCACCCAAACAUCGCACGUCUCGGAACCCGACAAAAAUUACAAAAUAUGAACGCCAAUUCAACCACGAGUCCAACCAUAUAAAUUUUACCCAAUUCUAAAUCGACCCUCAAAUCUUCAAUUUAAACCAAGAGUGUUUUAUAAAUUUUUUAACUUAAUUCACCAAUUAAAACUUAAAAACAACCAUGGUUUCUCGUAAUUUAACCAAUAUUGAGUUAAGAACACUUACCCCAUUGUUUUCAUUGAAAAUCGCCUCUUCCCGACCUCCAAUUUGUCUACCAUUUGCAGAACUUAAAGUUUCUGUCCAGGCGUGUCUUCUUCGCGAACGCAGAAGCUUCCUCGCGUUCGCGAAGCAAAAUAUUAUGCUUCCCGGAUUUCCUCCUUCGCGAACGCGAGCCCGGUCUCGCGAACGUGAAGACCAAAUUUUUCCAGUCCGGCUUUCCCUUCCGCGAACGUGAGGUCUCGAUCGCGAACGCGUAGCUUUCCCCCUCGACCCUUCACGAACGCGUGCCCUCGGUUGCGGACGCGUAACUUUGCCCCUCGACCUUUCGCGAACGCGUGCCCUCGGUCACGGACACGUAACUUUGCCCCUCGACCCUUCACGAACGCGUAACACAAAAUGGGCCAAUCCAAAUUUUCUCUUCGCGAACGUGAGAUUCCCCUCGCGAACGUGAUGAAGGAAACCAGAUACAUGCAUCAGAAAAUUUCAGCAGUUGUUUAAGUCCAAAUUUCGAUCAGUUAACCAUCCGAAACUCACCCAAGGCCCCGAGGACCUCGACCAAAUACACCAAUAAGACUUAAAAUAUCAUACAAACUUAGUCGAAACCUUAAAUCACACCAAACAACGCUAAAAUCACAAAUCACACCCCAAUUCAGCUUAACGAAACUAAUGAAUUUCAACUUCUAUAUUCGAUGCCGAAACCUAUCAAUUCAAUUCCAAUUGACCUCAAAUUUUGCACACAAGUCAUAGAUUACAUAACGGAGCUAUGAAAAUUUUCAGAACUGGAUUCUGACUCCGAUAUCAAAAAGUCAACUCCCCGGUCAAAUUUUCAAACUUAAAUUUCUAUUUUAGCAAGCCUAAUUUAGGUACGGGCUUCCAAAUAACAUUCCGGACACGGUCCUAAGUCCAAAAUCACCAUACAGAGCUAUUGGAAUCAUCAAAACUCUAUUCCGGGGUCGUUUUCCCAUAAGUCAAAAUCCGGCCAACUAUUUCCGCUUAAGCUUUAAGUCUUGGAACUAAGUGUUCCAAAUUCAUUCUGAAACCUCUCCGACAAGUCGCAUAAUUAUAAUUUGACACAGGAUAAGCAGUAAAUGGGGGAACGGGAUUGUAUUACUCGAAACGACCGGCCGGGUCAUUACAUCAUGAAAGGAACAUUGCUAACAAAGUGGGUAAGGAUACAUCAAAAGAUUAAGUUCCCAAACUAUAUUGAAGUUUUUAUUGGCACAUAGAAUGUCUGGUCGAGGACCACCAUUAACGAGAUAUAGACAAGGAGUAUUGAAUAGCCAAGAGUUGAGUGAGGAGGCUGGUAUAUAGAGUUUUGAUGAAUAUGAUUUGAGGUUGAACGAUGACCAAUUGGUCAAAGUAACACGAACCAGUUAAGGUCACAACUUAUAUCUUAUGGCUUCGGUGAGAAACAACACAAUGGUGCUAAGUAAAAUUGAGAGUUGGUUUUCUUGGUGGACAUAAAAGAUAUAUCGAAAAAGACAUGUACACUUCUCAGAUUCAGUAAAGACUGGAUAAGACCCCAACAUGACAAGCCACAAUGGUAGCCAUUUUGCAAGAACUAGUGGUGAUAUGUAUGAGAUGAGAUGUAUUGUACUGGACUACUGGUAAGAGAGGCACGUUUGCGACACUUAAAGCAUGCCACAUGUUAAAGAUACAUGUAGGAGACUAGAACGCUUCCUUAAUGGCUAAGGCCAUAUGAAUAGUUCAACAACUAAUGGUACAUAUGAGCACCAAUCGGAAAAAUAAAAGGGUAAGUGAAAGAGUUACGAAGGCAUGGGAUGCACGAAACACAGCUUCUAAGAUUGCAAAGGUAAUAUGGAUUGCCCAGGGAGGCAAAUUGAUACGGAAGGUCAAUGUUAAGCUUCCACAAAUCAAGUUAGUAUUGUUUUGGCACUAGAAUUUGUGAUAAAUAAAAGACACCAAGAAUACUCUCCAAAAUACACUUAGGUGUGCCAGGUGAAGUUCUUUCAACUCAGAAUGAUUUGAUUCCAACAUUAUAGAAAUCACAAGUCUUAUGGAGCUAAAAUUUAUACUUCUAACAAGCUGUGAAAUAUGGUAUAUGUGGCCCAAGGCCCAAGCACUUUGAAACAAUAGUGAUACGAUCUGGAAUGUAAAGGUUAAAAGCAAUUUAAUAAUAAAUAAUGUUGCGCUGGAAGCUCAAGUACGUCCAAAUCAAGCAAAUAGGUACUAUCGAAAGCGAUCAUGUAAAUAAUCAUAUAUAUGUACAAAUUAAAUUAGGUUUCAUGAAUGGUAACACAUGAGUUUAUGCAUAAUGAUAUAUAUUAUGCUUACACAUUAAUGUUAUAUUGUAUUUGCCAUAGUAAAAAGGGGCACAUUGUGACAAUGAUAUGGGCUCGAAAGGGCAAGAUAUAGAAAGCAUUAUCCAUUGAGGAAGAUCACAGAAAAGGUAUGAUUAUUGCAAAAAGGUCUACGAUCACAAAGUUAUGUUUUAGAAGAUCUUCUUUUUUUUUUAAACUAUUAUUUUAUACUUAAAGAAUGUAUACACUAUGAUGAUUUAUGAAACCCAUGGAUAUAGAAAAUCCUACAAGGGGCUUAUGGACAAGCAACAUGAUUUUGAUAAAACAUGCAUCCUCAAAUGCUUAAAGAAAAAUGCACAUGACAUGAAAGUCCUUGAUCUUAUGAAAGUUGGUUACCCAAUGCAUGGUUAUUGCACUGCCAUAAAUUAAUGUGUAUAACGGGAUCAAGAAUUCAAGUAAUAUAUAUAUACUCAAGAAGUCUCACUUGUUAAAGUAUGAUCAGAGUGUGAGCUAAAUAACUCAACAUUUGAAAGUCGUAACGAUAAUAUUGGUAAGGCAUAAUCAGUGUGGAACGACCAGUUGAGAUGAGAAAAGAUAAUAAACGACAAAAAGUAACAUGUAGCAGUUGAGAUGGGAAGUAAUGUUCCAAGGUGAACGAGACCAAGAGGGCUUUAACGAGCAUGAUGAUCUUACUUGCUACUCGAAGUUACUUAAAAGUGUAACAUAAGUUAUGUUUCAUGAAAGAAUAGCAAUGAAGUGGAGUUAUAAAUCGAGAAAGAUAGUGGUGUGCAUUGACAAAAGUAAUAUGUAAAGCAUGGGCAAUCAGAAGUUCAUCUAUAAAGUUAAAACUUGGUAAAGUUGUUUUCCACUCGAUAGGGGGCUCGGGAAUUUACUCACUCCAAAUUGAGGAAAAUGAUUGGCUAAGUGAAAUCACAAUAAGGUAUUGCUUUAGUUAAGAGAAUCUUACUUGUUAAAGAAAUGAUAAAAAUGAGUAUUAUCAACAACUUCUAUGUUAGGAGGGACAUGGUGUCCUAAAGUCUCGUGUUGGAAUCACAUGCUUUUUUCUUAAGGUAAGGAAAAAUAGCGUUACUAUCAAAUCAAAGAUAAAACCAUUAGUGGGCAGGGCGGAUAGAUUGGAAUGAAAAUUGAUAUGAAGAUAUUAUAGGGAGACAUUACCCUUGGGUUUUGAUAACCUAUUGACAUUCACAUAGACAAAUGACUCAACAACAUGAUGGAAAAGAAUUAUGUGAAGAUUCCACUCUUACUAACAUCGAAGCAAGUACGAAUUCAUGUCAACGUGAAGAUUCGAUACUCAAGUGAAAAAUAAGAAAAUUGAGAUAAGAUACACAAUAAGGGAUGAUUGAAGUUAUAAGAAAGUGUGCUAAAAGGUUGGGAAAUACUUCCAAUAUUUCUUAGUCUCCUAUUACUUGAUAGAAGAUGCGAAAUUUAAUAUGGCAAGUCUCAAAUGGUAAGUUAUCCAAUGGUUGGGAUAGAAAAGCGCAUGCUCUACUGAAGUGACAAGGUAGGAAAGAAAAUUCCUCGAACAUGAAAAGUAAAGGUCCCAGAUUAAGUGAAAUGCAUGAGUAAUGUGUUCAAGUAUUCACCAGUUGAAAUUUUAGUGUGCCAGAUAAUGUAGUCGAAUCAAAGGAUGCCCCCCACACACAGAUAAAGCUAGAUACCAAAGCGUUUCAAAAAUGUUACCAUACACAUAUAUUCAGUGCAAAAUAUAUUGGAAGGAAAUCAAGAGGUAGUCAAAUUUUGAACUUACUCUGCAAUAGGCAAUACAAACCAUAAUAAAACAUUUGCCUCAAGAAAUUACAAUCAGUAACAGGUACCGGGCUUAGUCUUUGUUCAUAAAGCCUUGGAGAAAGUAAGAUCAAUAACAAGAAGGCUUGAAAUUGGUAAAGUUAUCGAAAGUCAUUUGGGGUAUUAUAUCGUGAGUUAACCUCAUACACCUUGAUUUUAUGAAAGUAUCAUCAAUAAAAGGCGUCACAACUUUUGGGAAAGAAAAGCAAGUUGAACUCGAGGUUAAAGGAAGCUACAUGUUGGCCUUGUCUUUAGAAAUAUAUUCAGUCACUUAGUGUUAAUUUCUAUUCAUGAUCGACAAGUUCAACGGUUGAGAACAAAAAAAAUAGUUCCAGUUAAAGUCCUUAAGAGGGGGUCGCAUGGAAGGAAUAAAGUUAUGUGGAAAUUGAAGUUCUUUUAUUCUAAAGCUCGCAUAUUUUUUUAUAAUUUAUAGUCCUGAAAGUUAUGUAUGAGAUAAAAAUUACAUCAAGUUCGUAGUUGAAAGUGUUUCUAGUACAUAUACGUCAGACUCCAUAAGUUAUUAAAAAAAAGUGUAGAAUAUUCUCCUCAUGUGAAUUUUAUAGUGCAUGUAUUUCGAAGUCAGUAAAGCAAAUGUUUCAUGUGUUCAUCAUUAUGGAAAGUUCAUGUUUGUAUAGUAAUUCAUGUGUAUCGUUAUCGUGAAUAGCAAAGAAGUCCAUUUUGGCAUUUGUGAUCAUGUAUAUUGAUGAUAUAUUGCGUUGGAUGUCAUAUUUGGGUGUGAUACAGUUGUUACGAUGUAUUUGAGCCGGUUCAAUUUUUCUUUUGAUAGUCCUAUAUACAAAGGGAACUAUGCCAAAUUUUUUAAGAAUUUGGACAGUCAAAUUUUGGAUCUUGAAGUUGAAAGGAGAGUUGGCAAAUGGACUAGAACCUCUCUUAAGUUUACUGAGAGACUAUAAGCCGACAUUCGAGGAUGAAUGUUUACCAGCGGGAGAGAAUGUAAAGUCCCGUAUAUUAAUUAACAUUUAAUAUGGGCUAAUUAUGAUUCUGAUGAAGCGUUUGAGAAAUUUUUCAAAGUAUUUAUGAAGUUUCAUAAAGUUAAUAAAUUAAUUGAAAUAUGGUAGGAUGAACAAGUUAUUGCUUGGAAAAGUGCUAAAUUUAAUUUGGAAAACUAAAACAAAUUUUACUUAGACAACUUUUGGGGAUUCAAUACACUAUUAUCUCUUCUUAAUUAGUAGCCAAAUCUAAUACUUAAAAUAUGGCAUACAUGUAAAGAUAUUUAAUAAGUGGGACCCACAAAAGGCUUAGCUUUAUUAAAGGAAAAGAAAAAUACCAAGCAUUAGUUUUGUCCCAUUUUGUUGCCUUUCGUUACUCAAGAAAACGCAGCAACAAUAGUUGCUUUGCUUCUCCAUUUCAGCGAGAAAUGGAUGUCUUUAAGGAAACUUGGAAGCUGAAAAUUCUUGCAAGCCAAAGUGGCAACAACUACAAGAAUCGUAGAUCGUCUAGCUCUUGCUAUAAAUUUCUUCCAAAAUUUUAUGAACAUUUCAAGAUUGGGAUUUCUAGGGUUUGAGCCAAAGAGGUAAUUCUACUACUCAAGCUUCCUUUAUAGUGAUUAAAUAAUUUUUUUUUAAGGAUACUUAUGGGUAAUAUUUGUGGAAUGAAUGAGUUAUUGAAGUAAUCUUGAAAAUGACUGUUCUUGACAUUGAAGAGAUUAAGGAUGAAGAAGAUGAAUAGUAAGAAAUUAAUAAAAACAUGAUUGUUUGAUGAUUUUAACAACUUCAAAAGAACUUUAUCGAUUUCAAAGUAUAGAACUGAGGUAUUGGCCUUAAUAGCCAAUUAUCAAAAAAUGUUCAUAGGACCUACGGGUUAUACAGUUUAAAGAAAAAUGUAUUUGGAAGGACCAUAGUUAUUAUCGAUGAUGCGUACCAUAUAUUGUCUAGAGAGACACCUUACCGUGCUAGCACUAUUGCAAAAUCUCAUAGCAAUGGGUGAUGCAGCCUCGUGAUGAAGUGAUGGCUACUAUCGUCAAUAUCCUUCGGGUGAGAUGCCCAGGUUGAUCGGGGGAUGGUCAACAUACAGAUUCAAACACUGAUUACCGUUUAUAGUUAUUCUAGCUUAUGUGUACUAUAUAUUGUCCAGAGAGACACCUUAUCGUGCUAGCACUAUCGCCAAAAUCCAAUACCAAUGGGUGACGCGGCCUCGUGACCAGGCGAUGGUCACUAUCGUCAAUAUCCUUCGGGUGAGACGCCCAGGUUGACCGGGGGAUGGUCAACAUACAGAUUCAAACAUUGAUUUCCGUCCCGAUCGAAAGAUUUUCAGAUUAUCGAAAUGACAAAAAAAUGCUUACAAUUUAUUAAAAGGUGUAUAGCUGAUAAAAAUGAUCUAAUAUUCUGUUAAAUAUUACAUGAAAAUGCUUUUGCUCAUUGCUUUUCACAAGUAAUUUUAUGAAAUCUCAUACUUAUCAUACUUUAUGUAUCCCUAAAGUAUCGUUCCAACCUUAUCGGAAGGAGUCAAUGUUAAUUACGGGGUACAAUUAUUUAUAUUAUACUCAGCCCUCUUUUUCUUUGGUGGGAAUUGUGUGACAUUACAAAUAGCUUUGCCUUGGUGGUGGCGAGGCGAAUUAGGUUGCUACCACUCCUACUUCAUUACUUAUGGUGAGUUUUACCUUCUUCAUCAUGAAAGCUAUCUUAUAGUUGCCUAUUCUUAUGUAUAUUAUUAGAGGUUCCAUGGCAUAUAUUGUAGGAGGUCUAGUUAUAUACAAAAAAAUAACUUCAUUAUCAUUUUUUAUUAUAAAAAAGAAUUUAAAUGUUUCAUUGAAUUAUCGUAUUUUUAGUUCAUGAAAGGAUUAUAUAGUCAUAGUGGUUCGCUCGAUGCUAGUUAACGGCAUUGGAUGCAUGUCAUAUGUGUAUACCUAAAAUCGGGGCGUGACAAAAACCAUCUCUGAACUAUUUACGUGGUUCGCUCGAUGCUAGUUAACGGCAUUGGAUGCAUGUCACAUGUGUAUACCUAAAAUCGGGGCGUGACAAAAACCAUCUCUGAACUAUUUACAAAGUUCUCCUCCAAUCCUUCUUUUUUUGAUAGAAAGUAAAAAUUUAUUGAAGUAUGUGACCAUCACAUCGGAAAAUCUUAAUUUGUUAGAGAAAACACACUUUAUUUAGUAGUUAUUUAUAUGUAUUCAACAAUACAUGCAUGUUGCUCUCUUCUUAAUCAAUUUAUGCUAAAGGGCAAGUUUUGGUGUACCACAUGCAGUUCUGGCACGUCUAGAGGGGAGAGCAAAUUGAUAACAUCAACAGAUGGAGAGCUUGGGAGGAGAUUACAGCUUCACAAACUUGUGAUGUCUGUGUUGAGCUAAGUGGCUCCAGAUUUUGGAAAGGGUAAAGGAAUAUAUUUCAUGUUCAUAACCGCUGAAGACAAGACCCCAGGAGGAUUAAUAGCUCGCUUUCUUUCAACUAGUAUUUACAAGAGUCCUUAUUUUAAGUACAAUCAUCUUCAUCACCACCAAGAUAACUACAUUUGUCCAACUGCAACCAUUUUGUGCUCAGACUCUUACCAAAGCAUGUACUCGCAAAUGCUUUGUGGCCUCUGCCAAAACCAACAAGUUUUUCAGGUUGGCUUAUUUUUGCAACCACCUUCAUUUGUGCCAUGCGAUUCCUGGAGAAGCACUGGUCUCUACUUUGUAAUGAUAUCCGCACCGGAAUCAUUAUCACCCAAACAACUGAUCCUUCAGUGAGAAAGGAAAUGAUAGAAAUCCUCAAAGAUGGCAAAAAAAUUAGCUGAUUUCAUUGAGGCUGAAUGCAGCAAAGAUUCAUGAUAAGGGAUUAUCACUAGGCUAUGGCCUAAUACAAAGUAUGUGGAUGCUAUUGUGACUGGAUCCAUGUCACAAUAUAUACCGAUACUUUAUUAUUACAGUAAUAGCAUCCCUCUUAUCAGUACUCUAUAUGCUUCCUCGGAAUGUCACUUUAGAAUCAACUUGAACCCUUUCUGUAAGCCCAGUGAAGUCUCUUACGCCCUUAUACCCACCAUGUGCUAUUUUGAGUUCUUACCAUAUCACGGAAAAAGUGGAGUCAUUGAUUCUAUCUCUAUGCCCAAGUCGCUUAAUGAGAAAGAACAACAACAAUUGGUUGAUUUGGUUGAUGUCAAGAUUGGUCAGGAGUAUGAGCUUGUCGUUACCACAUAUUCUGGUAUUUUCAAAUUCCAAAUAAAAAGCUUUUGACGCAUUUUUUUUUCCCCAUUUAUCUGUCAAACAUGUUGUCUGCCAAUGCUUAGCUUUGCUUGAACUUGUGCCAUUUCAGGACUCUAUAGAUACAGAGUUGAUGAUGUGCUUCGGGUUGCUGGAUACAAGAACAACGCGCCUCAAUGAUGGGGUCCACACCCAUUAAUAGAAAAAAAUAAAGGGAAUCUAAUGAUGGCAAGAGCAAGUUUUAGAGUUGGCAACCAAUUUGCACGGUAAAUUACAUAGUGCAAGUUGUAAAGUGAGAUCCAAUCUUCCGAUUGGUUAAUUGGGGCAGUCAUUCCCUCUAUAUAAGGAGAGCUUCAGCUCUUAUUUUAUACACCAAUCUCAGUGGAAAAAUAUAUCUGAGAUUUAGAAAGAAAGAGUGAGGUUUCACCAAUAGAGUAUAAGAAAAUAGUCUGUGAGAAAAAUAAAGAGUGAGCGAUAUUGUAGUGGGGUGAGAAUAUCAAAAGAUGAUUAUUUCUUUUGAGUGUUUUAGUGGUCUUUGGAGUAUUUUACUAGGACCUACAAAGUGUAAAAAUUCCUUGUUAUAGUGAUAUCAGUUGCUCAUCUCGGGGCCGUGGUUUUUUUCGUUAUUCAAAAGGGUUUUCCACAUAAAAAUCUUGGUGUCGUU